AAACCACCAGUGUACAAGCCACCAGUUGAGAAGCCCCCCGUCUACAAACCUCCUGUAGAGAAGCCUCCUGUUUACAAGCCACCAGUAGAGAAACCACCAGUGUACAAGCCACCAGUUGAAAAGCCUCCGGUCUACAAACCACCUGUAGAGAAGCCACCUGUUUACAAGCCACCUGUAGAGAAACCACCAGUGUACAAGCCACCAGUUGAGAAGCCUCCGGUCUACAAACCACCUGUAGAGAAGCCACCUGUUUAUAAGCCACCUGUAGAGAAACCACCAGUGUACAAGCCACCAGUUGAGAAGCCCCCGGUCUACAAACCCCCUGUAGAGAAGCCUCCUGUCUACAAGCCACCAGUAGAGAAACCGCCAGUGUACAAGCCACCAGUUGAGAAACCCCCGGUCUACAAACCCCCUGUUGAGAAGCCUCCUAUCUACAAGCCACCAGUAGAGAAACCACCAGUGUACAAGCCACCUGUUGAGAAGCCUCCAGUUUAUAAGCCACCAGUUGAGAAGCCACCUGUGUACAAGCCCCCAGUCGAGAAACCCCCGGUCUACAAACCUCCUGUAGAGAAGCCUCCAGUUUACAAGCCACCGGUGUACAAACCUCCAGUUUACAAGCCACCAGUAGAGAAGCCACCUGUGUACAAGCCUCCGGUCUACAAACCCCCAGUUGAGAAACCUCCAGUUUACAAGCCACCGGUUUACAAGCCUCCAGUCGAGAAGCCACCAGUUUACGGACCACCUCACCACCCAUAGUACCCUCCCGUAGUUGGCACUACUCGUUUUUAAAGCAUGCUUUUAAGUAAAUAAGAGAUAUAUAAACUUUCCAAAGCAAGGAUCAUAUAUUCUUGGAAAUCUUCAAUUCAAUCUUAUGUUUACAAAUGCUAUUGCCAAGACAAGAGUGUGAAAGAAAAUGGUGCCAUUUGUACUUCAAAUUAUGAAUAAGAACGUUAUGAUUUAGUACUUCUUAUUUUGUGUUUGUUGACUAAAUUUGACAGAGUAUACUUUACUUGUUCCCUAUCAUACCAGUAAGGUGCAUGAAAGUUCAGUCUUGAACGGUGGAAAUAAAUAAUAAUUAAUUAAUGUUUGAAUCUCGAAUUUACUAAAUUAACGAACUUGUAAUUUCAUUGGAAUAUACUUGACUCAGUGGUAGCUUUAGUUUCAACUUGGAAAAUGUCCGUGAUAUGACAAUUUUUCCAAAACAAGUUUAGGUUAAGAUUUUUAUUUUUUAUUUUUGACAUAAUAUACGUUAAGAUUCUUGUGUACUAAUAGAAACUGAAAAAUCAUUUUGGUGCUUAAAGUUUAAUGAGUUGGACAAAUUAUUCACUCAAAUAUGGAAAUGAUAAUGUAGUCUCUUCAAUUAUAGAAUGCCAUUUAAUUUAGUUACCUUUUCAAAAUUAGCAUCACAAUUCGCAAGGUUUUAUAUUUGUGUUGAUGCAUCAGUUAAGAUAAGGAUCACGAAAAUUAGGUUUUUGACUUGGUUUUGAUUAGGGGUGUUUGCGGUGCGUUUUGGUUCGGUUUUGAGCAUAAAAGUCAUCUAAACCUCAAGAUAAAAAAGCAUGCGGUUUGGUUUGAUUCAGUUGAUUUUUAUAUAGUCAUCCAAACAAAACCAAACCAAACCAAUGCGGUUUGGAUUGGUUCGGUUUGUACGGUUUAUCGCGAGAUGAAAAAAUAUUACAUUAACUCUAAUAUUGCCAACUUGUUACAAAAUAAACAUAGGACAUUUUAUUUUGUUGUUUAUAUGAUAAAAUAUUAGGUAAAACUUAUAUCAAAAUAGGUAAAAUUAAGAAGAAACAUAAGCAUGAAACAAAUUAUUGAGAAGUAAAAGAAACAAAUUCAUCACUGAAAAUGAAUUGAAAGAGAUGGAAAGGAAUUAGAAUCGAACCAGAUGGUGCAACAAUGGAAAAAUCUAAUCAAAUGAGAUUAUUCUUGAGCUAUGUAAUUGGGCUAGUACAUGUUUAAGUAAUAUUCAUUAUUCUUGCGGUUUGGUUUGGUACUUGAGAUGCAAACCGCAAACCAAACCGAACCGCGCGGUUCAGUGUAAAAGUCAUCCGAGUUCAUUCGAACCAAGUGCAGUUUUUUGCGGUUUCGGUUUGGAUUGGUUUGGUUUGCGGUUUUUCUAUUGGGUUCGUUCGGUUUUGAACACCCCUAGUUUUGAUCGAUGUUUCCUGAAGAUAUGUUUUGGUAAUUGAACUAAAUAAACUGUCUUACAUUCUUCAAUUAAUGAGAUUAAAUUUCCUUUUUACAAAUAUCAAUGAUUAAUGUCAAGGACUAAAAUGAUGAUUAGUGUCGCGCCAUUUUUCGGAGGUCAAGGCCAUUUGAUUAGCUUUUGACUCACUUUUUAUCUCACGACUGAACAAAAAAUUUUUUAAAGGGGAAAAAGUUUCAAACCACCCAUUUUGAAAAGAUUUAGGGUUCAUGGGUUGGUUAUAUUUAGGGAAGGUAUUAGCACCCUAAAUAUUCGUAGUACUCUAUGAGUACCUCUUGAUUUUAUUUAACUUUUUGUGCUUAAACUUGCUUGCUUUUGAAGAGAUGAAAAUAGAAUUGAAAGAUGAGUUGAAACGAAAAAGAAAAUUGAUUUUAAUUGAAAAGAAAAAAGAAAAUUGUUUUUUAGUUGAUUUGGAAGGACAAGGUCCUCUGCCUACGUACCCGUGAGGGAUCAAAACCUCGUAGUUCGGGGUAGAAAUUGACGUUUGAUUGGUUUUAUAUUUUUUAUUAGUUUUUGAAAAAAGGUUUGAAAUAAAAAGCCAAGUGGCAAAUGAGAAUUGAUUUGUGUUUUUUGGAUUGAAGGAAAUAGACUUGAAGUAGAAUUAAAAUUGAUUUGAGAUUUGAUUAAGAAAGAAAAUAGAAAUAGCGAUCACUUCAUUGAAAGUCAAGGUUUGUUAUAAAAAUAUUUUUUUGUGAUUUUUUGAUAUUUGGAUGUUUUUGCCGUUUUUGAAUAAUGAAUGAAAAUUAAACUAACAGAGCAAUGAAAAUAAAAGUGCGUGGGCGUGAAGAAAAGAUUUUGGUUUAUGUUAGUUCGACAAUAUAAAUAGUAUUUAAUAUAUGUUGUGUUCACUUUGGAUAUUAUCGGACAAAAUUUUGACAAUAAUAAAAAUAAUAAUAGUAAAAUAGAAUAAAAAAUAGAAAGACUAAAGUGAAUCAAAAUGAGAUAAAAAGAUAAAUAUUUAAAACGGAUUUAAAGUUAAUAAAAGAUGGAAACUAAAAUUAAAUGAAAUUUGAAAAUUGAGAGAAGAGGGUCCGACUUGGAACCAAAUAUGAGGUAUUUUAAAAUACCUUCCUAUCGAAAUUUUGUUCGAAAGGCUGAGACCGGUCGGAGUUAAAUGACACGUGUCAGUGCUGCCUUAGGUCAAAAAUUGGGGUAUGACAAUUAGCUCAAUAAUUAAUUAUUGUGAUUUCUUCAUUUUAUAUUUAUAUUUAAGAAUAAAAAAAAAAAAAUGACGAUAUCAACUUUGACACAUUACAUAUUCAAUCAAUGUUGACUUGACCAUCAAUGCUACAUAUCCGGAUGUAAGAGUAGUUCGACGAGUUUAUUUUUGUCACUUUUGUUGAUAUUUUGUUGGUUUAUGCUAUUAACUUGCAUCUAGUAAACUUGUUCAUAGCUUCAUCAUUUUCAGUUUUAGUGACAUGAUAUUUGUGUUGUAUUCAAUGUGAUUUACCGCGCGAUAUGAAUAAUAUAUAUUUUUAGUCAAAAUUAAUCAUGUCGGACCUGAGAUCUUUGGUUUGAUGGCGUUGAACGACCUUUGAGUAAGACAAUGUUAAACCAAAAUGAGUUUUAUACAAUGCCUCUGAAGUUUUGAUAAUAACAAAGUAUAAAAAGAACAAUUGAAUAUGCCAAUGUUGUUCAAGUAUGCUCGACCAUAUAUUAAAAUUCAAAGUAUUAAAUCAAGUUUUGAUUCUGAAAGAACAAGAUUAUGAACAUAUACAAGAGCAUCUGCAACUUAUGAGAAGCUGGAAAUUUGGAUCAGACUCUGAAUAAGUAAGACUGUGAAAGUCGGGAGUGUAACACCCUGAACCCCACAUACUAUUUUUAAAAGUAAUAAUUCAACAUUUAAAUAAACAUAUCAAGAUGUUACUCUUCAUUUUCAACACAUAACAAGUCUCCAUCUUAAAAUAUCAACUCACAGCGGAAAUAAGUCUCAACAACACAAAUGUCAUACAUCAUAUCUCAGAAUAAGUACAUCAUCAAAAUAAACUCAAGGUUCCUCAAACAUAAUAUGAUAACAUAAAUAAAAUCCCAACAUCCUAAUCAGAGAACCACUAGACAAGACUCCAAAAUCAAAGCGGUAAAAGAUGAGUAGGCUGCAAGCCGUCCUCGGAAACUCAUGGUAACUUUGCGUCCUCAACCUGCAAGUCUCCACCACAAGGGCGUAGGCGACCAUUUGCCAAACGUAGGGUAAGAUAUAAAUUUAACAUAGAGGAAAUAUGAACACAUAUAUAGUAUUAGGAUCGCAACAUCAUAUACAAGUAUUCAUCUUAAGCAAUACCAUAUUAACAUGCAUUCUCAUUGAUUGGUAAAAUAUACACAACAAAUCUCAAAUCAUCAUCACAAGAAUAUAAAAAAGUAAACACAUCAUUGAUUAAUCAUCCAAUGGAAUACAUAGGAUUCACACAUUAUCACUUUCAUUAAAUCACACAUUUUCCAUAAAAUACACAUAGUCAUGUAUGCAUCUUUCACAUAGAUUCACAUAGUCAAGUACUCAUCUUCUACAUAGACUCUCAUGUACGAAAUGUUCCUACUCGACUUUAUAUGCAUGUGGUACUGUUUUCGAUAUCAGAGGUAUUUUCUGAGUGAUUUCACCGUCACUUGGACUGACCAUGAAUGCAUGAACAUCUCAUCAUGACUCGACAAUGCAUAAUUCAUAUAACUCGACAAUUUACAUCAACAACAUCAUCACAUCGUAUAUUAAUUCAUCGUCGCUAUAUCAUCAUCAUCAUCAUCAUCAUCAUCAUCAUCAUUUUCAAUGUCAUUAUAUCAUCAUCAUCAUCAUCAUAUCAACAUCUAUAUAUAGUUCAAAUCAUCAUGUCAAACCAUAUCAAUAUGUAUCCACCUCGUCUCGCAAUCACAUUCACAGUCAUCAUCAUUAUAUAUUCAUAAGACAUUAUUCUACAUCAUCAAGUAUACUUCGUUAAUCAUCUAACAAGUUCACAGUCAUUUCAUGAUUCAAUUAUAAUUAAAUCACAAGUUUAUUUCUAACCAUUUCAAUUGCUAAGUUUACUUCCAUCAUAAGCUAGGUUAAUUACUCUUACACAUCAAAAUUAUACUUCUAUUAAUCAAGUUUAGAGGUUUGUGACAUAUUCACAUGCAUUGGAUACCUUAAAAUACCAAAAAUAUGAGUUUCCCACUAUAGGGAGGGUUGCACGGUAGUGCCAUCCAGGUGCACAGUCGUGCUCAUCAUGCAGGUAGGGAAAAGCUAUAAUUUUUGCGUUUUGCUCAGGAAGAACCCCUUUCAACACCAUUUUUCGAUCCAAUUCACACCAAACUAGACCCAAAUCAUAAAACUAAUGUUGUCUAAUCAAUUACACAUUAAUUUUACCUUAACUAACUUUAUUAUACUCAUUAUUAUCGUCAAUUAACAUGAACUUCAAUUGUUUUAAACUUAUCACUUCAAACCCAUUUUUAACAUGGUAAUUCAAACCCCAAACAUAGUAACAACCAAAUCAACAUCCCUUAUUCAAAAUGAACACAAAAAAAUUCAUCAAUUCACAUUAUAAACAUCAACUCAACAAUUAUCAACAAUUAUCAUGAAUUUCACCAAUUUCACAUAAAACUCAAAAACCCUAAUUCACCAUAAUCAAACAUUGAUUUUAACACAACUGUUAGGUUUGUAGUCUUGACAUGUUGGUGCGACAUCAUAGCGUGCCUUGUUCCGAUUUCUUGGAGAUUGUAUUUAAAUGUGAAAUCGCAGAAGAAAACUAAACGCAUCACAACUAAGAAAAGGUAGAAUAAAACCUUUCUACAAACAAAGCGCACAUCACUUGAAAGCAAAAUAAAUACGCAACUAAAUUUCAAAAAAGAUAUGCAUAAAUUAUCAUAGAAUAAGGCACCAAGUAACACGUUCUUACGUCUCAGAUUACCAAAUGGCUCUCCGAAAAAUAACCAGAGUAUGAUAAAAUUACAGAUUUCCCAAAACAAAAGGAACAUAAACUAAAAUACAAAGCACGAAAACAAAGAAGACACAACAACAUAACUCUUCAUCCACUAACUUUCCAUCAACCAAAAUCUUGGAGGGGUCCAGCUCGCUCACAUUAUCAUCAGGGUUAAAAUGCAGAACUUGCGCCCUAGUAUGCUCAAAGCCAUUGUCAAAAUAUAAGGCAAGAUCCCCCUUGCCAUCCUCAACGACGAAUUGAGCUUUGGCGAGAUCCCCUUACAACUAGACGACCUUCUUCUUCCAUGAAUCUCUCUCCAGCUCAACAACUUCUUUUUCAUCCUUCAUAUCUUUGGUCGUCUUCUCUGCAGUCUUCUUAUCCUCCAAGGCUUCCUUCAACCUACUUUCAAGACCCGUUGCUUUAUGCUUCCACUUCUCCACAUCUUCAUGAGCGUCUUUAUACUUUGCCUCUAAAGCACCAUGUUUCUUCUCCAUCACUUUUCCUAAUAAAAGGACCCGGAGCACUAAUAUUCUUGUAUCCAUUACUAGCUCGCCAAAUUUGCUUUUAACGCCAGCAUCAACGUCAACCUUAGACAGUGGCACUUUAUCCUCCAUGUAGCUACGAUAAACGCAUGACUUAAAAGUUGAAAACCCACUAACAUUACUAGAAUUUAAGUAAAAUCUCAUCAUCAAAUUAAACUCUCAUACCUACGAAAGUCGAAAUCUUUAUGCCAAAAAGAGUCAGCCACCUGAACAUUCAGAGAAAUGGUUCCCGCCACCCCGCUAGCAUAAUCAUCAUCCUUCCGACUGGCAACAAAUGUCCGCUUCGAGUCGCCCUUCCCAGUCCUCAUCUUCUUGCGUCUGGGCGAGUCAGUUUGCUCAGCCAGUACCCCAUUGCCUGCCGUCUCCAUGUUAUCAAUGUCCAUAUCCGAAUGUAACAUCCUAAAAUUUUAAGUCUAUAUUCAAAUGUAGUUAAAAAUAUAAAACAUAAUAGUGUAAUUAUUUUAAAAUACGCGAAGAUAAAAAUAAAGACAAAUAAAUAUGAUAUAAUUUCUUAUUAAUAAUUAAAUUUUAUUGGAUAAAAAGAAAAGGAGAAAGAAAGAAAAACAAAAAUAAAGGGAGUGCAAAUAACAAUUAUUUUUAGAAAAGAAAAAAAAAGUUAUAUACUUUCUCGAAUUUUUUUUCUGCCCUUGUUUAUGCAAAAAAAUACAAAAAUGCCCCACUUUUUCGAAAAAUUGCGUAAAUGCCCUACUUUUUCAGAAGCCCCUGGUACUACUCCACUUGGAGUUGCGGGGUACCCUAAAAAGUCACAAUUUUUUUGUCCUUAUUGUACGCCGCUACUUGGACUUGCGGGGUACUUUCCUACUUUUUUUUUUCCACUUUUUUUACUACCCCGCGAGUCUUAGCUUUUGCUUUUUUUUUUAAAAUUUUUUUUUUUUAAAUACCCCUCUACUUGGAGUAGAGUGGUAUAAUGAAGACAAAAAAAAUUCAACGUGUAAUAAUUACUCUCAAAUAAUAAAAAACUAAUUAAAAUUAUAUAACCAAUAAAAUACCAUCUACAAUGAUUAUAAAUGCCCGGCUGUCCCACACCUUCGUCUUCGACGAUCUCUUCCGCGAUUUACUUGAGGGUUAUGUUGGUCUUCGUCAUUUUUAUUUGUAGUUGAUUGUAUCUGACUACCAUAACCCAGUGACAACGACACAUCGUGUUCUCUUGUUGGCCAUCCCAUAUCCAGAAAUUGUUCAUUGGAGUUCAACGAAGUCGGAGAGAAGUGAGAUAAUAGGUUUGUUGGUGUUGGUGGGUGGUUGUAGUUUUGGUUGGUGUACAUUGGGUAUUGUGGGUUGUUGUAGGGGGGUAAUUGGUGUUGGACGGUCCAGCUUGGUUUGGGUCAUUAUAGGAGAAGUAGUUGUUGUUGGAUGUGUUAGCUUGGUUUGGUUCAUUGUAACCAUAAUUUGUCAUUGAAUUUUGUUGGUAAGUUGACUGAUAUUGGGGCUCAUAUGCAUUUCUCGGGGAGGUAUAUGGUGGUGGUUGGAUGAUAUUUUGUUGGGGGGUGUCGAGAAAUUCAUACAUUACAGAACCAUGAAUGUUUUGUGUUGUAUGUGGUUGGGAUUGAUGAUCUUGUAGUUGAGAAAAAAUGUCUUGAUCCCAAAAAUCAUCAUGAAUUGGUGUUUGGUUGUUGUGAAUUUCAGGUUCAUGUUCCGGCUCCGGCUCUUCUUGUUCGUCUGGAUCUGAAUCUGAUGGUUUUGUCUCAACUGAAAUCCUUAGACGUGGGUUGCAUGUGGUUGUCAACCACUCAAUAUACGCAUGAGUUGGGGUGAGUGAUCUUGGCCGCAUGUGAGGUAAAAUAUAACUCCGUCGGUUGUCCCAAUGUAAGCUCUCUUGUGGAAAGUGAAAACCAUUUGAUUGGUACCACAUCUUGAACCGUUUGUCCACUAUAUGGAAUUGUCGCAUGUCUCGUGGGGCCCCUGGUAUUUCCUGUGGCAAACCAAAUUCUAGCUUGACCCUAUCAGUUGGAUGCCAUUCAACUCUGUCAAAACAUAUAAGGUGAGUUGUUGCAGUCCACUCCCAAUAGUCUUCAGGAAAAUUGUGUGGAACAUUCUUGUAUGGUCUCCAUUUAAACUGGCAGAAGAGAGAAGUUGUAGUGUAAGGUUAACAAUUUUGAUAUAUAUAUAUAUAUAUAUAUAUAUAUAUAUAUAUAGUUCGAUAGGUGAAAUAUAUAUUCAUUAUUAAUUAAAUAACUCCUAAUUAAAUACUUGUAAAAAAACUCAUGAUUAAAUAAAUAAUUAAUUUAUAAUCGCGACAUUUUUUUAGUCCUAUAUUAAUUGCAUGUCCUACUUUUUUUUUUCUUACAAAAGAAAGUUAACAUAUAGCUUUUUAUUUCUUUACGACCAUGAAAGUGUUAAUAUGUAGCUUAAAUAACAAAAUAUCUUAAUUAUAUUUAAUUAGACCAUGAAAGUUAGUUUACCCUUGAAAUUACAUAAAAAAAAAAUUACCGUUCAAUAUAUAUAUAUAUAUAUAUAUAUAUAUAUAUAUAUAUAUAAACUCAUACAUUCAAAAAUCAAUUAUAAUAUUACUUGAUGUUCCAGUAUGUCAUCAAACUUUUUUCUGUAAGAUAUAGUGUCAUGGCUUGGAUUCUCGUAGUAUCUUGAACCUGCACCUGUCCAUCUAACAAAUGAUAUAAACAAAUUAGUAGCUAAUUUAUCAAAUAAUAAUAUUAAUAAGAAGCGAGAAUAUGCGAGGAAAUUAACAAAAAAAAUAAAUAAAUUAAUUGACCACGAUUACUUUAAUCCUAGCGGCUACUGGAGUGGGUUAUCAUUUCUCGGAGCGAUAUAACUCAACCGACAAUAUCCCCAAACUUGUAACAGAAAAUGACAUCCAGAUAGUGCUUUUAUAUUUGGGUGUGAUGCCUCACACAAGCCACGAUAAAGGUAAGCCAAAACUGCCGAUCCCCAACUAUAAUUUCUUGUUUCAUUAAAAUCCAUUAACAAAUACAACCAAGAGUUGUGCACAAAUAAUCCAGUUGUAUUAGGAAACAAGAACCCUCCAAAGAGGUAUAGUAGGUACCUCCUGUGUGUUGUAUUUUUACCUCCGGAGGAGAUUGUUCACUGAAGUUAUUAUCGACCAGAUUAUCCUUUAAUCACGACAACGAGAGAGUAAAACCAUCAGUUUUGUGUGCUGGAGGAGUUAUUCCCAACAAUUGAGCACAAUUAUUCCACAGAAGAUUUGGAGGAGCCGUAACAAUUGGUCCUCCAAAAGGUAAGCCGAGUAAAAUAUAUACGUCUUCAAACGUGAUUGUACAUUCACCCGUUCGAAAAUGAAAAGUAUGUGUUUCGGACCGCUAUCUUUCUACAAGAGUGGUUACGAUGUGCCUAUCAAUUUUGUAACGCCCUAUUUGAGAAACCUCAAAAAAUCCAGCUUGACGUAGAUAAUCUUCAAUAUAAGGACUUGGUAUGAUGUUUUGCCGUGUACGAGUGGUUAGAGGUGCACCCUCUGCAUCCUAACAAAAAAUAAUAAAGGAAUAAAAUUAAAACAUAAUCAAAAUAUAAAUUUAAAAAAACGUGAACAUAUUUAAAUUAAUAUUAAAAAAUAAAAAUGACAUUAACAAAUUAAUAUCUAUAUAUACCCAUCUUCUUAUAUGUUCUUCCAUGGAUCUAUGAUCAUUUUCCAACCACAAGUAUGCCAUUGCUUUAUAGAAUUUGAUUGAAAUAAUCUCUUAUGUGAGUGAGUAAGGAAAGGAUUGAGAUAAGUAGAAUAUGUGUAAAGAGUAAAAAUAUAGUUGUGGUAUUUAUAAUGUAAAACUAUGUGUAAAUGGUAGAAGUAGUAGUGUGGUAUUUUAAUCAAUGAAGUGAAGAGUUCCUGUGUUACUACUGCAACGCAUGCAAGCCAACAGUGUUCAAAUAAACAUAGAAAUGACAAUUGCAUCAAUAGCAGAAGCAUGGUGUUCAACAAUAUUGAAUUAAUUCGUAAACUUUGCCUCAUGAGAUGACCAUUGCAUGUAAAAAAUACAUUAAUUUCUUGCAAGAAAUUUUUGACUGAAAUGACCAAUGCAUGUUUUGAUCACGUGAAGCAUGCUAGCAAACAAAUGGCCGACAAGCUGCCUCUGAAUAACCAAUAGGAACGGCGCGUGCAAAUACUACCCCGCCACUCUGGGUUGCGUGGUACCCCCAGCUGGCGCAUGCUUUACAUACCCCGCCACUCCAGCUUGCGUGGUACCCCCCAGCUGGCGCGUGCUUUACCUACCCCGCUACUCUAGCUUGCGUGGUACCCUCUAGCCCGCUAGUCCAAACUGCGUUGUACCUUUUUUAAUUUUCCCGCUCGAAGGGCAGAUUAAAUUACAUGUUAGUAUAAAUAAAAGUGGUCUGCAUGAUAUCAUUGUAUCAAACCAUUCUACUUCAUACUCUUACUCAUUUCUUAAGAUCAAACCAAUUCAAUGGCACCAAAUAUAAACGUUUUUGUGUACUAUAAUGGAGAAGUUAAACAAAAUGAAUCCGGUAUUUUUUUUCAAAGUCAGUAUACCAAAGGUUUUAAAGUCAGCAUGGCUAGUACUUACUUGCAUCUCAAAAGAAGAAUUGCGGAAAAAGUAUGUCUCGAAGAUAAUAUGGUUGUGUCUGAAAUUAUGUGUCGGAAUCCUAUGUUUGUUGGAACUACCACAAUUCAUUACCAGGCGUUAAGAAUAACUGAUAACGACGAUGUCGAGUUUAUGUUUAACGUACAUAAAAGUCACAGUUCUUUGUCCUAUAUAGAGCUUUAUGUUACGUUUGAGAUGAAGAAUCCAACAUCUAAUUUUGAGUUAAAUUACCCAUCGAGUUCUAGUCAACACCAAAGUCUACCACAACACUACAAUCCGUCAUCGUCGCAAGAACACUACAACCCAUCAUCGUCCCAACCGCACUAUAACCCGUCUCCCAUUUAUGAUGCAUCCUUAUCGCAACCUUUUCAGUCAAAGUGGUCACAAAAUGUGUACGAACCAUCACAAAUAAUAACUCAACCUCAUCCCUCUCAAACACCAUCUCGUUCAACACAACCCAAAACCUUAAACGAUGAAAUCAAUAUAUUCACCUCCCAAUUUCAAGACCAACCAAAUGAUGAAGUUCAAGAUGAUGAAGACGAUGAUGAUGAAGAACUCCUUGCCGCACAAAACGGUGACGAGAACGAAGAAGACGAAGACGACGAUCUGCCACUACUACCAAUUUUACCAAUCAGAGCUUCUUACAACCCACCAAGGUCCAUGCGCAACGUCAAUGAUGACCACUCAACUGAACUUUAUCAUUCAAUGGCUCUUCCGGUCGAUCAAGGUAUUGCCCUAGGGAUGCAAUUUCAUAACAAGAAUGAUUGCAUUCUCGCAAUUAAAUUUUAUCACAUGAAAAAAUCAACGGAUUAUAUUGUGAAAAAAUCAGAUCCUGAAAGGUAUGUCAUCAAAUGUAAAGAUACAAAAUGUGGUUUCAAAUUGCGGGCCUCGUGGAGGAAAAAAACUGAUAAAUGGGAGAUUGGGAAAAUGAAUGAUCAUACAUGUGUCUCAACAGAAAUGACGCAAGAUCAUCAUAAACUUAGUUACAAUGUGAUAUGUGAAAGUGUUAAAUCACUACUACAUAUGGAUACUUCAAUUACAGUGAAGGUUAUAAUUGCACACAUCCGAGAGAAGUUUAAUUACACAGUUUCAUACAGAAAGGCAUGGAGAGCACGGAAUAAGGCGAUUAAAUCAAUUUAUAGUAAUUGGGAGGAGUCUUAUGAAGAACUACCACAAUGGUUGAUGGUCAUGGAAAAAGAUUUGCCAGGAACAAUAAUUGAUUUUCAAACGGACCCAUCAACAGAAGUGGCAAAUGAGACCGUCUUCAAGCGUCUUUUUUGGGCCUUUCGUCCGUGCAUCUCAGGUUUCGAAUUCUGCAAACCAAUUGUCCAAAUUGACGCAACUUGGUUGUAUGGUAAAUACAAGGGAACAUUGUUGUUAGCUGUUGCGCAAGAUGGGAACAACAAGAUAUUUCCCAUAGCUUUUGCAAUCGUGGAAGGCGAGACCAAGGAGGCAUGGAGUUUCUUUUUGAAAAAUUUAAGGCAGCAUGUCACCCCACAAGAGAACAUAUGCCUCAUUUCUGAUAGACAUGUGUCGAUAAAGAGCGCGUAUGAUGAUCCACAGAAUGGAUGGCACGAUGCUCCGACAAGCCAUGUUUAUUGUGUCCGACACAUUGCACAAAACUUUAUGAGAUCAUUCAAGGAUGGAGAACUAAAGAAGAAAGUUGAAUGCAUGGGUAAAAAUCAUAUCUCUUUCCACGUAAAUUCGACAUUUUAUUUGUUUAAAAUGACACAUCUAACUUUUUUCAAAACAAUGCAGGUUACGCCAUGAACAUCCCUACAUUCGAAUACUACCGUUCUGAAAUUGCUGUUGCAGACCGAAAGGCUUUAGCAUGGGUCGACAAUAUUCCCAAACAAAAGUGGACUCAAUCACAUGAUGAUGGUCGACGAUGGGGCCAUAUGACAAGUAACUUGGUAGAGUCACAAAACAACGUGUAUAAGGGUAUUCGAGGACUUCCGAUCACAGCUAUCGUGAAAGCAUCAUAUUACAGGUUGGCGGCCUUGUUUGCUAAAAGAGGACAUGAGGCAGCGGCAAGGGUAAAUUCUGGUGAGCCAUUCUCAGAAAACAGCAUGAAAUAUCUCAGGAAUGAGGUGAUUAAAUCCAACAGUCAUCAUGUCACACAGUUUGACCGGGAUCGGUAUACCUUUUCCGUCCGUGAAACCAUCGACCAUAAAGAAGGAUUGCCAAAGGGAGAAUACAAGGUGGACCUGCAAAAUAAAUGGUGUGACUGUGGACGAUUCAGAGCGUUACACCUACCAUGCUCACAUGUCAUUGCCGCAUGUUCUAGCUUUUCUCACGACUACAAGACUUUUGUCGAUAACAAAUUCACGAAUGAGUGUGUAUACGCCGUAUACAACAUCCACUUCGACGUGGUUCACCACCAGACAUAUUGGCCUAAUUAUGAAGGACUGAAGGUGGUUCCCAACAAGUCCAUGUGUAGGGUAAAGAAAGGUCGUCCACCAAUUACUCGCAUUAGGACCGAGAUGGACGAUGUGGAAACUGAGAGAAGAUGCGGCGUUUGUAGGAUGCCUGGUCAUUCCCGCAAAGAUUGCAUUAAUAUUAGACACCAGUAAAAAUCUAGUCUUUAUUUCGUUUGUAGGAUGUAUGGUCAUUUCCACAAAUAAUUGUAGAUUUUAUGGUAUUUUAUUGGUUAUAUAAUUUUAAUUAGUUUUUUAUUAUUUGAGAGUAAUUAUUACACGUUGAAUUUUUAUUUUUUUUUGUCUUCAUUAUACCACUAUACUCCAAGUAUUUAAAUUUUUUUUUAAAAAAAGCAAAAGCUAAAACGCAAGUCCAACUUGCGGGGUAGUAAAAAAAGUGGAAAAAAAAAAGGAAAGUACCCCGCAAGUCCAAGUAACGGGGUACAAUAAGGACAAAAAAUUUGUGACUUUUUAGGGUACCCCACAACUCCAAGUGGAGUGGUACCAGGGGCUUAUGAAAAAGUAGGGCAUUUGCGCAAUUUUUCGAAAAAGUGGGGCAUUUUUUUAUUAUCUUUGCAUAAACAAAGGCAGAAAAAAAAAAUUCUACUUUCUCCCCACGUUUUCUCAAAAUUUGUUUCUAAAAUAAUAAUAAAAAAAGAAAUAGUUAUUUCAGAAAGAGAAACCGUGUGAUAUUUUUUAAUUAGUGUACACCUACACUUCUCAUGUGCCUAUAAAUAAGAUGCUUAGUUGAACAUAAACUCACACUACAAAACUCUCCUCUCUCUAAAAAAUCAGGUUAGUUCUCUCUCUCUCUCUCUCUCUCUCUCCUUUUCUGAACUUUCUCUAUUCAAUCUAUAGUCAUUCUUUAUUCUUUUGAAAGAGACAAGAUUUACUACUAAAAUAACCUCAGAUUUGGUCCCCACAACCCUUCUUUUGGGAAGAACAACAACAUAGUAUACCCUUCUUUUGGGAAGAACAACAACAUAGUAUUAGAAUGUUCUUUUAUCAGAUGAGAAAGUGACAGUAGUUUAGUUCUUUUCAACCUAAUCAAACCAUGAAAAUAGUUUAGCUCUUUUCAACCAUUCUUUUUCAACAGAAACAUCAUUCAAUAAAAUAAAAUAAAGAGAUCUCAGAUCUGUUUUAGACUUUUAGUAGAAAAAAUUACACGAUUUAAUUAUUGUAUUUUUUAUACUGAUACAAACUAUGAAGAUUGAAACAAAGUUCAUAAGAAAGUUGAGAUCUUGUUUAAUUCAUAUUUUUAGUUUAAAGAAAAAUAAAGAAAUGAACAUUGUUUUAAGAAUGACGUAAUGACUAUUAAAUGGCUUUUAAACAUUCUGACUAUAUAAAAAGGUAGUAACAUAAGUUUCAUUUGAAAUAAAAUAAAAUCAAGCUAUUAUUAAAAUAUAUCUAAUAUAAUCUGAAGAAAAAAAAAGGACGUGAUACAGAGAAACAAAGGAAUUAGAAAACUUUAACUCGUUAUCUCUAUUAUUAUGACCUUGAUAAUGACUAUAGUCUAAUAGAUAGUUUAUUUUGGGUGAGUAUUCUAGGUGAUAUUGGAGCUGCUUUCGACGGAAACAAUAUUGCAACCACUUGCGAAGAAUCCGAAGGUAAGGGGAAUUACUACUAAUAAAUUUUAAAGAUUUUGCAUAAGUUAUGUGCUUAAGUGAUUAUAUGUGAGUAAAUAACUCUACUUGUGAGAGUUAAUUUCUCGAUGAUGUGGUAAUUUCUAGCGAUCAAGUACAUGUCAAAGGACAUCGACUUAUAUGUGUUUUAGUUAAUAUAAUUAGGAGUUUUUGAAAAUAUAAUACAUAAGUAGAAGAAAAAGUUUUGUAAAUGAUGAAUUGAUUAGAUAGUUAUAUUAUGUUUAUUUGGUAUUACUCUUGUGUAAGUGAAUGAGCAUAUGAAUUUCAAUAAGUGUUAACUGAUUUCGAUGAGUGAAAUUAGUUGGAAAUAUAUGAUUUAAAGUGUCAAUUAUGAUUCGACGCGAUAAUUUAUAAUGUUAAUCAUGAUUAAAAACUUCUCUAUAAAAAGAAAUGAUCUAAGAGAGAUAGUUGUAUCCCACCUCAUUAAUUUUAUGGUAUCAACUCAUAGGUAUGUUGUAAAGGAAAGAAACUUAAGAAUGCCAAACUAUGAUCACUAACUUAGUACGUAGACAUAGUAUAUAUAGUUAUAUUGUACGUGUAGGAAAUUCUUUAAAACAAAUGUAUAUGUGCUUUUUAACUAGGCAACAUGAAUUAUUCUUUGUUAAAAUCUCAUGAAUAAAAAGAACAUGUACUAGUUUAAUUGAAUUACCUAAGUUCUUACUUACUGCUGAAAUUUCUAUGCUUAUAAAUAAAUGAAAAAGAACAUAUGCUGGUCAUUAAUUGUUCAGUUAUUAUGUACUGGCUUGAUUUACUUGCUGGAAUUUCUAUGCUUAUACAUAAAUGAAGAGGGACAUAUGCUGGUUAUUAUUUGUUGAGUUAUUAUAUACUGGUUUGAUUUACAUCACUGUACUAAUUGAAUAAAAUUCUGAUGUGGCUAAUCAAUUUUAUAAACAUAAAUGGUUAAUUGUUUGACAUUGUUGAGUUGAAUAUGAGUGUUUUGUCUUGUCUAGAAAGUAGGGACAAUUAAGGAGCUAUAACAGGUCCCUAUACACUCAGGUGUAGAUGAGAAUGAGGAUAGUUAUGGUUUGGUUACUUUGAGGAUCUAUCGAGGGCACUUGUGUUUCGAACGCCUAUCAAUAGUUGGGGAUUGCUUCCCGGCUGAAAGUACUCGUACUACCAGACACGGUGAGCCUGAAAAAACUAGACUAUCUAUGAUAAGGUAGUGCGAUCGGACUAGAAUGAUUAGAGUUUAAGCAUAUCUUGCUCAAAAUACUAAUAAUCAUGAUAUAGUUGCCGAAACGGCCUUAUGCUCAUUAGAGUGGAACCUCCAUGGAGUAGUGAAUUAUGAGAAGAAAAUAAACUAGAGUCAAGAAAAAAAAAGUCAAAAGAGUUCAUGCAUGUGUCAUGUUGAAUGUCAAACUAUUAAUUCAAAUUGGACCUCUUAAAAGAUAGUUUUUUUUUUUUUUUUUUUAUAAUAUGCUUUGUGAUUGUUGUUGGACAGUGAAUGAAAAGAAAAUAUUAUAUCUAUGUAAAUAUCAUUUUACCUUGCUGUAUAUAUAUUAUUUUCUUUUUCCUUAUGUAAUAAAUCACGUGGAAAACUUGUGUACGAGUAAUUCACCCUUCUUUGUUUGUUUUUGUAUCUUGUUGUUUUUUUUGGGUAUGUUCGGACGUUUUUAUAGAUGAUGCCAGAAAGACAUUUAGCUCACUCGGGAACCCGCAUGAUCGAGUUCCUUGAGGUAUUUUCUUUUGCAACACUUAUUAAAGAAGAAAGUAAUAAUAAAUCAAAACACUCACACAAAGACGCCUCAAGACUAUUGGAAUCACCCUAUCGUAUCAAAAGCUCAUGAAUAUCCAUAAGUAAAAACUUCUCCAAAAAGAACACCAUACCCUACUCAUAGGGUGCCAUCUUAUUAAAAUCAUACCCCAUCACUGCAAUCGGAGCAAUGAUCCAACAUAAAGGAAACUUUGGUUUUCCUUCCACCAUCACCAACGAAGUUGAGCCCUCAGGCUCUCCUUGCACCCUAACAAACGAAUCACACCAAUCCUUCUUAAAGUUAGAAGCAUAAGGAGGGAAAAGUUUUUUACUAGGAUAGGCACUAAUUGAAACCCACAUUCCCUUGUUUACAUCUUUCGUCCUAUAAAAAUGGAAGAAGACGCCAACAGAAGGCUCCAAACUCAUCCUUACAAAGUAGUUUGAAUCCACGAAUAAACGCCUAGCUAUUAGGACGUAUUUGCGAAGGCGCCACAUUCAGAAACUUUAGCACAUCCAUCUCAAAAUCCGUAAAGGGUCGUCACCCCAAACUCUUCCAACACCGUCAUAUACAUAAGAAAGGAAUCAUCCCUGACACCCUCCAAACGCUGAUCGCACACUCUCUCGCCUACAUCACAGGGCGACACUGUCACAUCUUUCUCGUUCUCAGUAGCAGAAGUAUCCAUCUUGUUUCAGAAUAAAUUGAUAUCCGAAGGCGACAUAUAUGAAAACACCGCUCGAAGAACUUCUUCAGCUAAAUGAUUCAUCUCCAACUCAUAAGAAUACGUCAAACACAUAAUCUCUUUUUGAGUAGACGGAAGAGGCAUAUAAUGACAAAUCUCUUGACAAGUUUUCCCCCUACGACAAAUCACUAUCACUACCAUUAGAGCUAUCGCUACUAGUGUUGCUAUCAUUGGACAAUUCCCCUAAAACCCUACGAUAAAAAAGCCCUAAUUCGUAAGCUUCCCAAUCAAUCAAGUCAUUAGGAUGUGUUGCAUGUCUUAAAGAAUCUCUCCUCAGUUGGUCUCUCUCAUCAAAAUUCGUAGGAGAGAAGGCGAAAAAUGAGAGAAGGAAAAUGGAAGAGUACUUGAGAAGAUUGAAAACGUGAGCUUAGAAAUCCAGACAAUCAGCUGGCAAGUGCGCGAAUACGGAGAACUAAAAGGCGAAAAAUGCGGAAGUGAAAUGAGGAAAGGAAGGAAAUGAAGGGUCAAAGAGUUUUAGAGGACAACAACAAUUAAAACCCCCUCAAAAAACACGCUCAUCCUUGGCACGAUUGGAGACACGUGUCAAGAUACACCCAGAUUCGAACACGUCACUAUCAUCGAAAGGUCACACAUUUUGGACCAUACAAUCAUGUUAAAAAUGAAAGAUCUCGUCGAUAUAGAAUUUCAAAAAACUCGUUGCCAACUCCUCAAACAGGAAACUUACUCGCCGUGCUGUUACAAAUCACUUCGCCUUGUCCCAAGACUCGUGGUUGGGGGCUGUGAACAAACAUCAGGCAUAAAACGCAUGACUCGACUAGCACACACCCUAGGGGGCUCUAGGAUAAAGCAUAAUCACCCAAGGGGGACUCUGUAAGCUCCAACAACAACAUCCAAAGACAUACACAAAAAAUACUGAUAAACGUAAAAUAAAUUCCAAAUGCUAAUUAAUCAUUUCGCCUUGUCCCAAGACUCGUGCUUAGGAGGCUUUGGACCGUCAAUAUCUUCUUAAGGACCUAGAAGUCCUCCCAAAGGGCAUUUAGACCCUCCUAGAUGCCUAACACCCUUCAAAAGGGCUCUAAGGCCCAACACGCGCCCUUCCUAGGGAGCCGCCUCUACCAGCUUCUAAAACCUCCAAAGCUCGGCCUAAAUACCUAAUACGAUUACAAACCCUAAUACCUCAUUACGUAUAGCUUAAGAACCAUAAAUCAGGCCAAUAGAGGGCUAUAAAUACAACCUUUGAGAGCCUUCUGAAGGCAUGACCAAUACAUUACAAACCCUAAUACGAUUAUUGUACUUUUGCAAGUACAAUGAGGAAGGCGAUAUUGACAGGGAAAGUUUCCACCUAAUUUGGGCUAAAAACAUGGACUUUUGGGGGUAAAAAAGUCACAAAAAGUGACUUUUUUCGCAAGGAGCAGGGCGCCUAGCGCAUAAUGGCAUGCACCUAGCUCAUGUUCCUGCUAGGCUGAGGCGCCUAGUGCCCCUUUCAUGCGCCAGACGCUUCAGUUGUUUAGCUUAGGGGCACCUAUUGUGCACCUGGGUGCAUAAGUGCCUUUUCAGUGCCUUUUCAGUGCUGUUUUUCUUGUUUUCUUUGCCUUUUGAGGUGUUUUCUUCAAUGUAAGAUGUCUUGGAACUUGAGAACAAAAUUCCUUCCUUUGUAAAGACUUCUGAGGCAUCUUGAAUCUUCAUUAUUCAUCUUCCCAAGGUCCACAUAAAUCUUCAAAUGUCUUGCAUUGUCUGAUUUGCUUGAUUUCUUCGUGAAUUACUUCAACAACACCCUAAAAUUGCUAUUUUUCAGGAAGAAUAGAAUUACAAACUCAAUAUAAAAUACAUUACAAAUGUACCGAAAUCAUAGGCAAUUGAUCAAAUACUCUUCUUCUUUGCUGGUAAAACCUACUGAAAUUGACUGAAAAAUGUAACAGCCCUAUUUUCGUUAGAUUUAUUUUAAUUGUUUUAAUAUGUGUUUAUUUAUGCUUAUGUGUGAUUAUUAUCAUUGGGUGCAUUUUUAUGGGUUUUCGUGUUGGAAGGAUAAUUUAGUAAUUUCAUGUAAGGAUUAUUUUUAGUGUUUCAAGUGAGAACCAUUAUUUACUAAGUUACUAGUGUGGUAAUUAGUUGUGAGCCGGUAAGUGAUCGUUGUUAUUAUUUUACCGUUAAGGGAGUAGAAACAUUUUAGAAUUAGUGAAUUAGUGGGUUAAGCCCACUAAGGCAUUAGGGUUAAACCCAAUUGAGAAGAGCCUAUAUAAGUUCUAGAUUUUAGAGAAAAAUAGGUUUCCACUUCAUUUCAUAAGAAUUUUGAGAGAGGUAGAGAUAGAAAGUUCAAGAGAAGAGGAAAAUGGUUAGAAGGGAGAAAAGCUUGAAGACUCAAGAGGUGAUAGAGAUUCUAGGACCUAAAUUGAAGCUUUUGCUAGGAUUUUUGCUAAUUGAGGUAAGGGGGUUAGAUUUCAAUCAUAAUAACUUAGUUGUAGCUUUUACCCUAAUUUCAUGUAUAAAUGCUUAUUUGUAUAAAGUGAUUAUUAUGAAAUUAAUUGAUGAAAUUCGUGGUUAUGCUUUGAUGUGAUGUUUGGGUAUGUGAAAUUGAUGUUAAUUAAGUUGUUGAUGAAGAAUUUACAUGCUCAAGUUAUGUAUAUAUGUAUACUUGUGUUUUUGCUCAAAAUUGAUGAAGUAUAAUGUUAUUGUUGGUGAAUUGUUGAUGAAUUCACUUCUGAUUGUUGUUGUUGUGAUUGUGAGUAGUUGUUGUUGAUGAUUGAAACCUUGGGUAAUCUUAACCAUAGAGCUUGAAGUGAGUUUCUAUUGUUCUUGAAGUUUUCAUGAAAAAUAGGUCAAAUGGUAAUUUUGUUGAAAUUAUGUUGGAUUCAAGUUUUUAUAUGGAUUUGAGUGUCUUUUCAUGUUUAGACAAACUUUGGGAUCAAAUUUGGGUAUUGGGUCAAAAUUGGGAUUUUGGGGUGAAAAAUGAGUUUUUUUUUGUAGUAGAACUCCAGAAGCCUGUCACAACUCGCCAUGGCGAGCGGGAGGCGAGCAGGAGGUGCUUCCUGUGUGUUAACUCCCCAUGGCGAGUGAUUCACUCACAGGGCGAGCUGCACAGUGACAUCAUUCCCUGUUUCGCAAUCUUGCGUCUUUUUCACAUAUUUUUGUUUUGAAUUGGUCUUUGGUAUAAAUAUGAAAGUUUUAGAUAAUUGUGUUAGCUUUCCAGUGGCGUUGGUUUGACUUGAAAAUGAUUUUUGGUUUUUGAGUUAUGAUGAAAAUACUCCAAGGAGGUCUUAGUGAAAUUUUAUGAAAAUUCCGCAUAACUAUUUCUAAGUCAACCCAAAACUUAUGGAUUGUUUCCAAACUUCAAAACUUGUGUACUAUGAGUUAAAUUAAUGUGUUUAAGAGUAUUUAAGCUACGUUGUGGUGAAUUUAACUUGGUUUUGUUUUGAAAGUGAAUUGGUUUUACAUUAUGAGUAAAGCGAUACGAACUUUGCAAAACUUUGAAUUUAAGUGAGUUGGCCUAUGGGACCUUGAUGUAUACACUAUUGCACUCAUAUGUGAUUGGUGUAUAUACUUAGUUGAGGUUUCCAAAUGUGUUUACCUUGUUUUGUCGGAUAACUUGAAAAUUGGUAAAAUGAUACGAACUUGUCGUAACCUGUGAUUUUGAUGAUUUUGUCGUAGUAGGCCGGUGAAACGCACAUGUAUAUUCAACUACACUCAUAUGUGAUCUAAGUGUAUACAUAGUCGAGGCCCUAGAGUUUAUUUACUUGGUGUUAGUUCAUUUGUCUCAAUUAUUUUAAAGUUGUAAAAUGAGAGUUGAACUUUGUCAAAAAUGGUUCUUUAAAGCCAAUUACCUUAUAAAUCUUUUGUAGAUAACUUUAUAUGACUAAAUGAAGAUAUGUGAAUGAAUUUUUAAUUGUUGAAUAUGAUAUUAUCAUAAGGUGUUGCAUUUUCUCUUUACUUGGAAUAUGAUAAGUAUUUGGAAUGGUGGAACUAUACUAUAUGGUUGAUGUUGAUUAAUAUUUAUAUAUCAAUUGAUGUUGAUGAUUACUGAUAAUUAUGAUGAAAAUGUGAUGAUGACUCUUAAUUGGAUUAUGACUUUAUUGUUGUGUGGACGUAAAUAUUUGAUAAUGCAAUUGUUGUUGAUGUUAUCCUUUAUAUUGUUGUUGAAUAUUUAUGAGGUGAUUUUGCAUUGUCAAGUCUUUCCUUGUAUGUCCAUGCAUCAUAGUCAUGUUGAGUCUUGAUGUUGUAAAGGAGGGUUACUCUUUUACUUUGGUGAUAAUGUAAGACGGGUGUGAAAUUUUACAUAUGAUGUUUUUGUUGCAUCAUGUGUGACGACCUUGAGGUGAUUUGGUACCACAUGCAUAUAUGUGUCGGGAUUAGGCACAUAUCAUAUUGGCGUGAGUCUUAAUUGAUGUAUUUGAAUGAUGAUUGAUGAUGAUAAGUGUGUUUGAUGAAUACAUACUUGUGAUAUUUAGAAUUGUUGCAUGAAUGUGUAUAUGGAAGUUAAUUGCUCAUGAUUAAUUAAUUGAUACUUGAUUUGAUUCAUUUAUGUCUAACUAUUUAUGUGGAUUAUGAUUGUUGUAAAGCUUACCCCUAGUGGUUUUGACCACCUACCUGUCUAUAUGGAUGGGUAGACGAAGUGCAAGAUUAGUCGCUUUGGUGAGUUGCUUGGUGAUUGCUUAGAUAGAGGGAGUUAUCUCCGUUAUCGUUUCCUUAGAGUCUUAGGAUAGGCUCUGAUCUAGGAUGUAUGUCUUAUGAUUAUUCUAGAUUGUUUAUUUUGGAUUUAUUUGUGUUGUGGAGAUUUACCCAAUUGUCGGAAUUUGAAGAAUUUUUAUGUUGAUGUAUUUUGACCUCAUGGCAUGUAUACUUUUGAAGUGUAUGGUUUAUAUCCGCUGCAACGGUAUAGAAUUUUUAUAUAUGCUUGUUAUUUGAACAUUGUUGAUGAUGUGGCGUCUAUUUCUUGGAUAUUUAUAUUAUUCGCGUGUUUUAUUGCUUUAAUAGAAAUAGGGCGCUACAAAAAACAUGCUAAAAAUAACGUAAGAUGUCCUGUCAUCAUACAACGAUUGAGAAAAAGAUAAAGAUUGUCUAAUACCCAAGACUUCUUACAUAACUAUUUCAUCAAAGCAGAAUAGUUCAAAAACUGGAAGGUGUGGGUUUUCAUGACCUAGGAAUACAGGUAGCUCAAGUGAUGACAACAUAAUUUAUGGGAAAUAUGAGAAUCAUCAAGUCUGUGGUAAUGUCAAAUGGAUUCUCAAUCAGAAAAGAAUGCAGAACCUUUAUCCCAGACUUUCCCUCGAUCAUCCAAGAACCAAAUACCAAAGAUCUAGCAGACCUAGUGUCACAAGCUUCUGAAGAUCUAAUCUGACAUGGACCAUGCUCCUAGGGCAUGGACCAUGCACCUAGGGUAGGGUGCGUUUCACAGUCACAUGCGCCUAGGGCAUGGAGUGUGCUCCCUGAGAACUAAAAAAGUGUGGGGCAAAAUUGAUUUUUUUUCGACUUUUGUGUUGUUAUUUUAUGUUGUGAUUUUCUCAGAUUGGAGUGGAGGUAGGAUGUGAGAGUUCAACAGAUCACCAUUUGUAUGACUGAACAGACUAUUCAGAAAAUCUGAAUCAGUGUUUUGAUAAAUGGUUUAGCUAGAGGGUAAUGAUAUAGGUGGCGAAGGAAUAAUGAUGGAUGGUACUGAAGAAAUGUUAACAUAUUAUGUAAGCUCAAGAUCAAUACCUUUUGUAUUAUGAGAUUCUUCUGCUUUGCCUGGUGAGGUUGGCUCAACGGUAGCUGUUGUGAGGUUGGCUCAACGGUAGCUGCUUCUGUGACUAGCAUGCUGACUUCUUCUGCUUGCUUCUGUUGCUUCUCUUGGUUCUCACACUCAUCUACAUCGAUGAAUAUUAGAUGACACAAAUCUUCCUUAGCAUGUACAUUCUUCUUCCUUUCUGGUGAGGGAAUGAGUGAGUGAAUAGUACCAGAGUUCCUUGUGAGCUUGGAAAAAUCCGUUUUGUAGACAGAUCACAAAGUCACAUACUCUUAAUUUGUCUCUGAGUCGGUUUUGGAUUGCCUCGUCUUUUUGGGUGCUUGAGAAACUUUCUCAUCACCUUUCCUCUUAACCUCGACUUUCUUUAACUUCUUUGUUGGAGGAGAUGUUGUGACUUUGGAUGAUUUCCUCUUAUUCUUCUUGUUGUCUGCAGUUUCUGAGUCACCAGGAGUUUAAUCCGGAAAGAACUAAUCCGCAACUAAUUACUAAUAUUUUUCAUUGAAAAAAAAUAAUUUUAAAUAAGACUGGUACCUUGGUCUGUUGUAAAUUUGUAAGAACUAAUUUGACAGACAAUGAUAUAACUCAAAGACUAAUUUAUUUGUAAGUGCAAUAAUUUUGUUACUAAUUUUUGACCGUAAAUAACACACAAGUUAGCAGAAGGACCAAGUUGUUCAAUAUAAUUCAAAAUGUGAUUGUUUUUGCCAUGGCAUCCCCCAGUUUUUCUAUAAUUACACAAGAUUCCCUUUGUCUCGAUGGUUAGGAAGUACAAUUUUCUUUUGGAUGUCUCGUGUCUGAGUCCUAAUUCCCCUCAUUUUUAUAUUUCUAUUAUAUUAUAUUUUAAAUUUUAUUAAAAAAAUGUUCUUGAGGGGGAAUCGAACACGCACCACUACACUGAAUUCUAGCAAAAAACUGACCCCUAGACCGGUUACUGAUCUGAAGAAUAUUAUGAAACAACUAAACAUAUAUUCCAUAAAUUUUGGCACCCCCAAGAUAAAAACUCAAGAUCCGCCAUUGCCUAACUCAAGGUCCUAAAUACGCCACUACCAUUAACUAUAAUUAAUAAGAGUGUUUUAGAAAAUGAAACAUAUUUUGAACAUAUUUCUUAUCAUUUCUUUAACAAUUAUGUAAAACUCAAAAGGAACCCUUAAUUUGAGACAGAGGAUAUAUAAUAAUCGAUGAAGUUUAAUAUCUGCAAAAAAGUGUUAUUAAGUGAAGUAAACUUAACAAGGGUGACACUUGUUUUCUUUUGGUAAGGUGUGGGAGCACUCUUGACUGAGUUUCUAUUUUUUUUUUUUAUAUUCUUUUGAAAGUUGUAGUGGUGUAAUUGGGUGGUUAGUUGAAGUAAUUUUCGUUUUGGUUCUUGCUUGAUCUAUUUUGCAUUGUGAAAUUUCAAUUCUUAGUUUGCUUUCUACAUUGACGGAGUUGCUAAGUUGCAAUCAAACUUUUGAGUGUGUAUUAAUUAUAACAGUAAGAGUGUUGCUAGCACUACUCUUAUAUAAAAUCAGAUGUAUUUUUAAAUUUAUUUAUUUAUUUUUUUUUUUUUAAUUUCUACGAAAGUGGUGCACUUUUCCAUGAAUAUGCUUUUAGUGCAACUCCUUACCAAUGUAGUCAAACAAUUUCUUAAAACUCAUUGUUAUUAGUCAUUUCGAAACAAUGUAUUCACCAAGACAAAGGAGUGGGUGGAAGGAUAAUGGGUGCAUGCACAAUCAAGAAAAAGUUAGGUGAACAUUACAAUCAAAAUAUAUAGCAUAGAGCAUCAAAAUUUAUCGUAUGAAACAAUGUUUUUCUAAAAUAUGAAUGUGAACAAAUAACCCUUCAACUCAUAAGAUGAUCUUUAAUAUAUAGAAUUAGAAAGUUAGAGUAUCAGUACACCGAAAUUUAUAUAUUCAAAAGUGAGGCGUAGUUGGUUUUCCUCUUUAUGUAGUAUAGUUCGGUUUUUCCAUUUUAUUAUGGUACUUAUUCCUAUCAAAUUGAUAAAUCAGCUUUAUCUUAUAAUUGAUUUAACUAAUGAUGACUUGAACAUCAAUAUUAUAUAUUCGGAUAUACGAGUACUUCAUCGUGCUCUUAAUUUAGAGAUGUUUUGAGUUUGUUUACAAAUUGAAUCUUUGAAUUUUAGACAUAGAACUUGUACUCUUUUAGAUAUAAUAUACCGAUUUGAAUGGAUAAAUACCGUAAUUCCAAACAUAUAUUUUUUUUUCACACACAUACCUCAUCCAUUACGAAACGCAGGAACUAAAGCUAUAUAAUAUAGUGAAGCUAAUUUAAUAAAAAAUAUAUAUAUUUGGUGAUGCUAAACUCAGUCUAACUUAAUGCCAGUUCAAAAGGAACACUGUGGUAUGGAGGAAUUCUUUGUUUUGCAUUUAUAAAUGGCAACUAUACCCUAUUAAUCAUCAUCAUAAAAAUAAUUUUUAUAAUGUAUGAGACCAAGUUUCACGUCUCUAUUAUUUUUCAUCAUUUUUUAGAAUUGUACGAUCUUGUACCAGAUCUUCGUUUAGUUAUGAUGAUAGCAACCACUCUCACUGAAAAAUUAUAUAAUAACAUUUUUUUGGCAUAUUUAAUUACUGAUCCUGUCGGUGUAUUAUUGUAAAAUUAGGCAAUUUGUCCAAUCAAUUCACACAUAAUUUCAAACCUGGCAACUAUAUAAAAACAAAAUCAUAGGUAAAUAAUGUAGAAAAUCACCAACAACCCUUGAAUUUUGUUACAAGAAAGGGCCAAGUCAUCACCUUAUCAAGAUUGUGAGUGGAUUCACAAAGAUCACGACUAGUAUAAAAGGAGGAAGUCACUCUUGUGUUUUCUGCACCAAACUCAUAAGUCACUAACAUGGCUUCCUCAAACUUCCUAGUGCUGCUUCUUUUUGCUCUAUUUGCCAUUCCUCAGGGUCUUGCCAAUUAUGAGAAGCCUCCGGUUUACCAACCACCGGUGUAUAAGCCACCAGUUGAGAAACCCCCGGUCUACAAACCCCCUGUAGAAAAGCCACCAGUAUAUAAGCCACCAGUAGAGAAGCCUCCAGUUUACAAACCACCGGUGUACAAGCCACCUGUGUACAAACCCCCAGUAGUGAAACCCCCAGUCUACAAACCUCCUGUUUACAAGCCACCGGUGUACAAGCCACCAGUUUACAAACCACCAGUAGAGAAGCCCCCAGUUUACAAGCCACCUGUAUACAAACCCCCAGUAGUGAAACCCCCAGUCUACAAACCUCCUGUUUACAAGCCACCAGUUGAGAAGCCUCCAGUUUACAAGCCACCAGUAGUGAAGCCACCUGUUUACAAGCCCCCAGUCUACAAGCCACCAGUAGUGAAGCCACCUGUAUACAAGCCUCCAGUCUACAAGCCACCCGUUUACAAGCCUCCAGUUGAGAAGCCUCCGGUCUACAAGCCACCUGUUUACAAGCCCCCAGUUGAGAAACCUCCAGUCUACAAGCCACCGGUUUACAAGCCUCCAGUCGAGAAGCCACCAGUUUACGGACCUCCUCACCACCCAUAGGACUCUCGGAUGCUUUUAAGUAAAUAAGUUAAAUAAGAGAUAUAUAAUGUUUCCAAAGCAAGGAUUAUAUAUUCUUGGAAUCUUCAUUUUAGUCUUUUGUUUACAAAUCCUAUUACCAAGAUAAGAAUGUGAAAGAAAAUGGUGCAUUUGUACUCCAAGUUAUGAAUAAGAACGUUGUGAUUUAGCACUUUUUAAUUUGUGUUGGUUGACUAAAUUGGACAUAGUAUAUAUAUACUCUACUUAAUACUCUGUCAUAUCAGUAAGGUGCAUGAAAGUUCAAUUUUCUGUAGUAGACAUAACGAAUAAUUAAUUUAUGUUUGAAUCUAGAAUUUACUAAACUUCACGUACUUGGAAUUUCAUUGCAUUAUAGCUUGACUCAGUAGUAGCUUUAGUGAAAAAUGAUUUUGGUGCUUAAAAUUUUAAGAGUUGGAGUUUGGACAAAUUAUACACUCAUAUAAUUUAGUUAUCUUUUCAAAUUUACAAUUACAAUUUUCAAGGUUCUAUAUUUGUGUUGAUGCACCAAUUAAGAGAAUGAUCAAGAAAAUUAGGUUUUUAAUUGGUUUUUAUCGAUGAUUUCUGAAGAUAUAUUUCGGCAGAUGAACUAAUCCUUCAAUUUAAGAGAUUAAAUUGCCAUUUUACAAAUUUCAAUGAUUAUAUUAUUACCUAAUCUUAAAUAUAAUUUUUAGGGCUAAAACGAUGAUUCACUCAAUAUAUAUUGUGAUUUCUUAUUUUUUUUAUGAUAUAAAGAUAGCUGAAGUUGUGUGAUAUACAAAGUUAUAUUUCCUUUGGAAGAUAAGAGUCCCCCACCAUAUUGACAUGAAAGUGAACGUGGGAAAAUAUGUGCAAUUAAGGUUCCAAAUAUUAAACAAUAGCCACAAUAAUUGUCUAUAACUCAUAACAAAUAUAAGAACUUGAUAAGAAAAAUAAUAAAUAUAAGAACAUGAGCAGGCCAUAGUUUUUUAGCCCGAGAAGCUUCAUCUUCUUUUUAAGUCUAACAUUUUUUAAUCUUCAUUCAAAGAAGAUUGGUGAUUUUGGGAUAUUUUUAUAAGAUAGGUAAAUAAUGAAAUUUGUGUUGUACUCGAAGAAAUCUACCACACGAUUUGAAUGAAUAUAUUACUUUUAGUCAAAAUAAAUUAAAAUAAAGAAUGUAACAUUUCAAACUCACUCACAUAUAAAGAAUGAAUUUACAAUCUUUAAAACACAAAUAUUUAAUCCUUAAAUCUAACACCUCUCUUAGUUUUAGCGAAAUGAACUUUGUGUUGUACUCGAAGAAAUCUACCACACAAUUUGAAUGAAUAUAUUACUUUUAGUCAAAAUAAAUUAAAAUAAAGAAUGUAAAAUUUCAAACUCACAUAAAAAGAAUGAAUUUACAAUCUUUAAAACACAAAUAUUUAAUCCUUAAAACUAACACCUCUCUUACAUUUAUUUUGUUUACGUACCUUUAUUUUGUUUUCAAAUACUUAUAUUUAGUUGAAUUCCUUCAUUAUACUCUUUUUAAUGAAUUUUCUGAACAAAAUAAAAUUGUGUUACUCAGUCACUCAAAUUAGAGUGGAUAGAGCAAUGAAAAUAUUUAUUACUAUGUAGUUUAUAGUUGGAGUGAUCGGAUAGUCUAGUGGGAUCUUAGCCACUCUCGUUUGACUCACUUGGAGCAUGUCAAAAAUAUUUUUUUGAAAAUGAACGAUGGAGAUUUACUUUGCACUAGGUCCAGUGAAAAAGAUAUGGGAGAUAAUCCCAAUCUUAGCUUAUUGGGUAGGCCAGUGUUGAGAAUGGAUUCUCUCAAAUGUAAUUAUCUCACUAGUCUAAUUACCAACACAAUCAAAGAGAAAAAAUAGUGGGAUGUAAGUAAAAAAUCCAUAUUCUACUUACUCAAUCAUCUAUACAAGCUACUUUAAUUAUCUAGUCGAACGUUACGAGCGUUACAAGAGAAAUCAGAAUAUCGAUGAUCAAAAUCCUUCAAAGCAAAAGAUGUUGUUGUGUGCAAGUGUGAGUUAUAUGCCCCACAUCGGAUAAAAGAGUAAAGGUUGAACACCUUAUAAGUAAGAGGACCAUAAACCCAAAGCCUUAAGGUUUUGGGUAAGAGUGUGGUGUCUCCCUUGCUUGUCUGGUUGUUCUAGCCUCGAUGUGGACGCUCCCCCAAGCUCCCCUCGCUGACCCAACAGUGGUAUCAGAACCCCGGUUCGAUGAAGGGUACGACUGAGGCCGCCUGUCAGUUGUGCAGAAAGCAGCAACGACGGUACAAGCAACAAGUGGCUUCUUGUGCAGCAACGGCUAUACAUGCAAAGUAAAAAGCUUCCACGCGGUACAAGCAACAAGUGGCUUCUUGUGCAGCAAUGGCUAUACAUGCAAAGUAAAAAGCUUCCACUCUAGGGGAGCGACUCACGCUUGAGGGGGAGUGCUGUUGUGUGCAAGUGUCUGUUAUAUGUCUCAAAUCGGAUAAAAGAGUAAAGGUUGAACAUCUUAUAAGUUAGAGGACCCAUAAACCCAUAGCCUUAAUACUGUCCUUUUUGCAUAUUUAGCCCCCCCGAAACCAAUUUUAACCAAUUCAACGAUGACGUGGAUGUCACGUGUGUAAUGCUUUAAUUAUUUUAGUUUUAGAUAGAUACAGAGAGAGAGGUGUCAUAUGUCAAAAAAAAAAAAAGAUAGAAAAGAUUUCCUUCCUUGAAUCGUUGAGGUAACUACAAACUAAGACAAUGAUGUUAUUGGUUACUUGUUUCUAAUACCUUUGAAAAAGAUAGUUAGACCAAUGUAUUGGUCAUUAACUCUUUUCAAUGGUUACUACCCUAGUGUCUAAGGUGAGUCAUAACAACGUCAAAGUAAGUACAAUUAUUAUUAAUUUAUGUCUACACCUAAUCAAUAAUUGAAGGUUAAGAUAGGUCAAGCCAACAAAGUUAAGGUUAAGAUAAUCAUUUUCACCUAAAUUGAUUUAUGAACAUAUGUUAAUGAUGACAGUCCGUCAUAUCACAUUUUUAGAGUCUUUUCAAUUAAGUUUUUAUUCUAAUUUUAUUAAUUUAGUACUUAAUUUAGAGUCAUUUUAAAUAAAUUGUCAUUUUCUUAUUAUUGAGUCAACUAGUGUAUUAUUACUAUUAUUAUUGGUCAAUUAGUGGCUAGUAAAGAGAAUGAAACAAAAACAUGGUUUUGUGAUGGAUGUGAUUGGCCAAGAAAAAUGAUAACAAGUUGAACGAAAGAAAAGAAGACCACACAAUGUUGCAUUAGGGUGCAGGAAUCAAAACCAAUAUAAUUGGGCUUUCUUUCAUGGACGUUGAACCAAGAAAAAGAAAAGAAAAGAUAACUUGCUGCAUAAUGUUAAUUUGGAAAGAAAAAUAGGUUUGACAAGCUAUAAAAGGAGACCACGCACAGGAACAAAGCAGACGAUUGGGAAAGAAAGAGCAGCACGCGGUACGAGACAAAAGGAGGAGGAGAAAAGCUCAUGGAAUUUGGAAUAUGCAACAGUACUGAUUAAAUAGAACAAAGCCGGUAGACCAUAAUUCGAUCGGUUUAUUUCUUUUAGUAUGUUGUUUAUUCCUUUAAUAUGUCUAGUUAAUUCCAUUUGAUUGAGUCACGAUGAACCUAUUGUAAUAUAUGAAUCAGUAGUUAAAACUCUUUUUAUUAUCAAUAUUAUUCAGUCUUUAUUCAGAAUUAUCUGUGUUCAUUGCCUUUCAUAUGAUUGUUUGCAUUGUUUGCAUUGUUUGCAUGACUAUUAACCCUAACUUCUUACAAUCACAUAAAUUGAUCUUAGGAAUUGAAUGACUACUAACCCUAACUUUUAAUCCUGAAAUAAUAAUUCUGUUUAAUUCAACAUAGGAACCUAGAGAUAGGAAAUUGAGGAUUAUGACAUAUAACGUUCUAACAUCGCUUCCGCGGUUAUUCAACCAGUUUAAAAGAUUAAAAGGUUAUAACUUAGGAAAUGGUUUUGAGUCAAGAGAUUGAUCAAAACUAAUUAGUUAAUUUGUCGUAAAGAUUGAAUAAGUGUUGAGAGCAAAGAGAGAUAAACUAUUUCACAUAAAACAAUAGAGGAUUUACCGGCUGAUCAUCUGUUUUAAUCCAAUUAUCAAACCAUUUUAUUUUAUGUUAUUUACUUUUUAUUGCACACAAACGUACUGCCUCAUACACUUAUAAAAUUUACACAUCCUAGAUAUUAACUUUAUUGCUAGUUUGAGAUUAACACAGUCCUCGUGGAUACGAACUUAUUUUAUUACUUCGAUAGUUUUAGUACACUUGCUAAAAUAUUUAUGAGUUAACCAAUAAAGAGUAUCAAGAACAACUUUAACCGAAUAAAAUAGAAAAGUAAUUAAAUGAAAUUUAUAGAAUUAUUCAAAGUUACAUAAUCAAACAAUUACGAGGAAGUUCUUAUUUCAUGACCUAACAUAUAUAGUAUUAGCUACUCAUAGAUUUUCUAAACAUAUAUAAAUAGAUAUGAAGAAGAAAGCAUGAGAAAAGGAUCAGCAAGUGAGGAUUAAUUGGCUCCCUAAUGGCCGUGGUCACUCCAAUCCUUCCAAAAUUGUGUUUCUGCCUUCGUCUUCUCGCUAAAAAGUAUUUUCCACUAACUUAGGUUUCAAUAUUUAUAGGUGUGCAUUUCCUUAAGUUUUUGGGAAAUUGGCACACGAUGCGAUCCUAUUCCUCAUGAUGCGAGGAUAACAUAACUAAUCUUGUUGGCCUCACGUUUAUUGUCCCGAUGCAAAGCUCAUGAAGAUUGAUACGAUUCAAGGAAAUGUGAUUUGAUUUAACCAAGCAAAAACCAAGAUCAUAGGAUAACAAUGAUACGAUUCAAAGAAGUGUUAACUUGAUUCACAGUAAUACAAUUCAAAGAAUCAUGAAUCGUUUAAAAAUUUAUGGAAAAUUAGCAGAAACUUUUCAUGAUAAGAUUCAAAAAAGUUUGAAUUGAAUCAAUUGGUUAGAAAAACAUUUUGACCAAGAAAAAUGAAGUUUUCUUUAUACAAACAAAACACAAGACAACAAGGGAUCAUAUGAUUUAUGAGGCAAGAUUUCUAGGUAUGCUUUAACAUGAUAUUAGUCAAUAACAACUAAUAUCUAAACAUCAUCAAAUAAAAACUACCUAAUGAACAUCAUAAAAACACAAACCUAUAACUACACAACUUCAUCCAACUUAUUGGGUGUACCGCAUUAACUAGAUAAUGGUCAUAUCUAUACUAUAUAUAAAGAAAAUAACAUGUUUUUCAAGGUGAGAAAAACACGAGAGGGGGGGGGGGGGGGGGUUGAAUUGUGGUUUCUUUCUCUUCUCCUAAAACCGAAUUCACUAUUCAGAACUUGAUAGAGUUCAGCUUCUGAAGUAGUGUUCAGAGUCUAGUUGCAGCGGAUAAGAAAAGAGAGAGAGAGAGAGAGGCAAGACACAAAGCAACUAUACAGAUUCCUUCCACAAACCGGAACUAGUCAUGUCCCCCUUGCACCUCCAAGAAGAGUUCACUAAAAUCAAUAUUCGAUUACAAUUGCUCAGGGCUCAAAAUAGCAAGAGACUUCAAACUACUCAAGAACAACUACAAGAGAUUUCCUAUGCUCAAGAACAAAAUCAAGAGACUUCCUAUGCUCAAGCACAACUGCAAGAGACUUCAUACAAAUCAGAUAAGACUCUUAAGAUUCUAGAAUUUCUAAAAUAUGAAAGUUGAUAAGAAAUUCUAAGUGAACUUUGAUGUGAAACAUUUUUAGCAGAGUUUUGGCACUUGUAAAAUUGUUGUAAGUCUCUUAGAAAUCUUCAAGUCUUCACUCCUUUAUAUAGAGGUGUGAAAGAGACGUUGUUGAUUUCCAACACAUUAAAAGAGUCGUUAUUGAAGCUUGAUCAAAUUUCAAUUCCAUUCCAAGUAUAGAGGAAUACCAGCGUAGUCACAAUUGUUGUUCUUGUACUAUUGCAGACAGAAAACAGAGUAGUGGAGAAGGUGGUUGUACAAUUGUACUAUUGUCCUUUUCCAAUGUUCUUCAAGGGAUAAGCAUCCAAUGACUUCAAAUUCCUCUUAAUUAGUUGUUGCUCUAGACUUCUAUUCCUUCUGCAAUGAUAGGCAUGAUAAUAACAACUCUUGACAAAUAUUGAAGCUUCCAGUCUUUCAGCUUAUGAUCUUAAACUUCUAACGACGUCAGCUUCUGGUAGUCUCCAGCUUAUGAUAAAAGUGCUUCUGAUGAUGUCAUCUUCAGAACCUCUUUGUCUUCAAAACCUCUUUUCCUUCAGAUGGUUCCUUGCAACUCAAGCUUCCUUUUUUUAAAUUCCAUUGCUCUCAUUUGUUCUUCUAGAACCCAUGCUUCAUUUAAAGACACUCAAAUUUUUGUAUAUGGUCCUGCACACUUGAACAAAUAUUAUCAUAUCCAAUUGAAUUUUUUUAAUACCUUGUUAUCAUCAAAACUUAAAGGGUAAUGUUAAACACAUUUUGUUCCAACAUUUUUGACUCUUUUAGAAUGACUUUUUCUCUUUCCAAAAUUACCAUCAACUUUCAAUACAAAUAACACAUACAACAAGAAUUGUGUUAUUUGAACAUCCAUAUAUGCGACAACUUUUGUGACAACCAAAAUUUUACAAAGAAAAUGAAGUAGUGGCACAAAAACCAAAGCAAUAGAGAGAGAAAGUAAAAAGAUAAUGUGAGUAUGAGAGAGAAAGUUGUCACAAAAGUUGUAAAAAAUAGUUGUUCAAAUAUCAUUUCUCCAUACAACAAAUAGAUGAGAGUAAAUUCAAACAUUAAAAUAAAAUUGUAAUACACACGAUAUGAGUAUAUAUGUCCAGUUUUUUCCUUUAUCAUUUAAAAAAUGUAACAAACAAGAUGAGAAUAUCAGAGAGAUGAGAGAUAGUGACGUGAGACAAGAAAGACCUCUCCGUGGCCCGCCUUUGCUUGAACGGUGGUAACCGCACCAGAAUUUAUCUCCAUUUGAGAGAUACACUAGGGGGUAGGUAUGCAGCCUGGGUGGUAGAAAAUGGGGGGGGGGGGGGGGGGGGUAUGGGUGAUUGGUCUGUAGUUAGGUCACGAAAGAGGAAAGCGACGCAAUCGGAAGAUCGAGGAAGGGACAAGUCAAGGGUUUCAGAGCGACGCGGAGGCACGGUAAGGGUUAGAGGGAUCGCACAUAAUGAUUACGGGUUUGAUGGCAGAGAGGCGCGACAAUCAGCAAGGGCUCUUCAUGAUCAGCAAGGUUUGGGUCGUUAUCAGUUUGGAAACAACGAUUUGGCUUUCGACAGAUGCGGGUCUGAUGCUAUCAUGGGAAAAGGCUUCUUCGACGACAAACAUAACAAUGGUAGUAAAAUUACUUUCUAUUUUGCAAACAUUCCUGAUUAUAUGCCGUUGUUUCGUCUCCGUCAAUACUUUGAAGUGUGUGGUAUUUUGUCUGAUGUCUAUGUUGCCAGACAACUAAAUUCACGUGGUCAGGUCUAUGGCUUCGUUAGAUUUUUGAAUGUGAGGAACAAGGACAAAUUAGCACAAGAUUUGAAUAAUGUAUGGAUUGGUGACUUUAAGGUCUGGGCGCGUGAAGCAAAAUUUGAUAGGUUUGCACAAUAUGAUGAUGAUCAUAGGGUGUCUAUGCAUGGUGAUAGAAGGGAUGAGAAUGGAGGGGAGAGGAGGCCGGUGGUGAGAACUAAUGGUGAUGGAGUAAAAAAUAUGAGGAUGUGUAAUUUUAAAAAAAUAGGAGGGAUAAUAAAAAUAGUUGUUGGUCUCAUUUUAAAAAAAAAUAAAAAAAUUGUUUAUAUAUUUUUGUUAUAUUAUCGGUGUCAAUGAAAUGGAUAAUCAUGGUUAAUUUGAUUUGUUAUAAUUUGAAAGCAACACACAUUUAUAUCUUUAAUUUUAAUCAAAAUCAAAAUGUUAUAAAAAAUACUAUUGCUAAUUUUCAAAUGUUAACACAAUAAAAAGAGCAGAAAGACGGAGUGCCCGUCUUUUCACUAGUUAUAAUAAAAGAAAUUUUAUUUGAUGUAUUGAUAAUGAUACUGAAACUUUUUACACAUACAUCCAAACAUUAUUCAUGACAUCACUUUUAUACAAGUUCUAAAAUAUCGCUGUAACAAAAAGGUUAAAAAACAACUCAUGAAAUAUGUACAUGAUUUAAUUGAAUAUAUGUGUAAAAGAAAUUAUAUAUCAACAUCUAUAAAUUAAAUUUAUUAUUGAAAUGAAAUACUAGUAAAAAUGAUGGCCAGCAUUUAUGAAAAUAAAGGUCUAACUGAUCAUGGGCCAAUUUAAAUCAAAAGUAGAUUUGUGCCCUCUAAAGGGUACUAGAAUAUAAAAGAUGGACGGCAAACAAGGGACACAAAGAAUAGAGAUGCUCAAUUUAAAACACAACUUCGAUUUUUUUUUUAUUUACUAAAAAAUAACUUAGAUUGUUUAGAGAAGAUAGGAAUUCAAUUAGUCUGACAACAUAUUUUGGAAGUACAAUUAGUUUCACAAUUAACUAUUUUGAUAAUCCUCCUUAUUAAAAAAAAAUUAAUAUUCCAUUUCGUCAAAUAAAACAAAAAGUUAGGGAGUGAUGAGAGAUCUUAGUCAAUAUUGUUUUGCACCAUAAUAUUUUUGAGAGAUUGAUUUGGCAUUUACAUGCUUCCAACAAAUACAAUGUAACAAGUGCUUAUAAUUAUAUGAUAUCGUCUCUUAAUAUUGUGACAGCUGAUCACUUAAACACAAUUUGGAACAACGAGGUCCCUCUGAAAGUUAGUCAUUUUACAUGGAGUUUGCUCUGUAGCCGAUUACCAACAACAAAUAAUUUUAUCAGAAGGCACAUUCUUAAUCAUAAUGUUCAACUUUGUGUAGGCUUUUGUGGUAUAAUGUAAGAUAUAGACGAUCUAUUUCUCUCUUGUGAUUUUUUUGAAAUUUUUUAGAUUGGUAUCUAUAAUUGGCUCGGCUUUACUAUGGUACAUCCAGAACAUCCGAAUAACUUUUCAACUCAUAUGGUUAACUUGUGUUUGGGUGAUUUGAUGGGAAAGAAAUGCUUGAAGUUUUCGCAAUCAAGAAGAAUCGUUACAACAUCUUCUUGACAAAAUUAAGCUUCAAUCCUAUUAGUGGUUGAAAGCGAAUAGAAUUUUCGCUCAAUUUUAAUAAAGUGGAUACUAUAUGAGAUUUUCGCUCAAUUUUUUAUGAGUAUGGACUGCACUUGGCGUUAGUCAUUGAACUCAUUUUACGAGACUCAAGUUCCAACUUAAGCCAAAAACUGAAACCAAACAAAUGAAGUAAAAAACUCAAGUUCCAAACUAAUGCGUGAUUUUAGUCAAAACAAUGUUUAUUUUUUGACAGUAGUUAGUUUUGGAUUACAGCUAUAUCCCUACACCCCACAAACUAUACCCCUCUCACCAAUAGACAAAACAAAAGAGUAGGUGGAAGGGUACAUAAUUAAGAAAAAGUUAUGUGAAAAACAAUAUUUUCUAUAGCCAAAACCAAAAGAUAUAUAUUGCAUUAUUGCAUAUAUACCAAUAAAAGAAGUACUGUGAAAUACAAGAUAAUGGCAUUAGAUUAGAAAUGGCCAAUUUGAUCUGUCUAUUUUUAAUCAUAUUAUUUAGAUUUGUUCAAUCUUUUACCAAAUCUUAUUUAGUUAUGCAAAAAGCAACACCUCUCGUUGAAAGAUAAUAAUAACGAUUUUUGGCAUAUGUUACUAAUAUUGAUUGAAAAAUGUUACCAAAUGAUGCAACUUCCCAACUCCAAUCCACUCAUAAUUUCAAACUUCGCUACCAUAUGAAAACAAAAUCACAGGUAGAAAUGUGUUGGAAAUCCUCAACAACUAUUGACUUUUGGUACAAAAGAGUGCCAAGUCAUUACUAAUUCAAGAUUGAGACAUGCAGCUGUGAGUGGAUUCACUAAGAUCACGACUAGUAUAAAAGGAGCUGGUCACACUUGUAUUUUAUGCACCAAAUUAUAAGUCACUAACAUGGCUUCCUCAAACUUUCUAAUGAUGCUCCUCUUUGCUCUCUUUGUCAUCCCUAAGGGGUUUGCCAACUACGAGAAACCUCCAGAGUAUCAUCCACCAGUUGAAAAUCCCCCAUUUUAUAAACCACCGGUAGAGAAACCACCUGUGUAUAAACCACCAAUAGAGCAACCUCCAAUUUAUAAGCCACCUGUAGAAAAUCCUCCAAUUUAUAAACCACCAGUAGAGAAACCACCCGUGUAUAAACCACCGUUUGAGAAACCUCCAAUCUACCAUCCACCAGUAGAGAUACCACCAGUGUACAACCCACCAGUUGAACAUCCUCCAAUUUACAAGCCUCCUGUAUACAAACCACCAGUAGAGCAACCUCCCGUCUAUAAGCCACCAGUAGAGAAGCCUCCAAUUUACAAGCCACCAGUAGAGAAACCUCCUGUUUACCAACCUCCUGUUUACAAGCCCCCAGUUGAGAAACCUCCAGUGUACAAGCCACCUGUAGAAAAGCCACCAGUGUACAAGCCACCUGUAGAAAAGCCACCAGUGUACAAGCCACCUGUAGAAAAGCCUCCUAUAUACAAACCACCAGUAGAGAAACCACCAGUGUACAAACCACCCGUUGAGAAACCCCCGGUUUAUAAGCCACCAGUAGAGAAACCACCUGUGUACAAGCCACCAGUUGAGAAGCCCCCAAUUUACAAGCCACCAGUAGAGAAACCACCUGUAUACAAGCCACCAGUUGAGAAGCCUCCAGCUUACAAGCCACCAGUUGAGAAGCCACCUGUAGAGAAACCACCAGUGUACAAGCCACCGGUUGAGAAGCCCCCAAUUUACAAACCACCAGUUGAGAAGCCUCCAGUGUACAAGCCACCGGUUGAGAAACCACCUGUCUACAAGCCACCUGUAGAAAAUCCACCUGUUUACAAGCCACCAUUUGAGAAACCUCCAAUUUAUAAACCGCCAAUAGAGUAUCCACCCGUGUACAAGCCCCCUUUUGAGAAACCCCCCAUCUACAAGCCACCUGUAGAGAAACCUCCUUUUUACAAGCCUCCGUUUGAGAAUCCACCAUUUUAUAUACCUCCAGUUGAGGAGCCUCCUGUUUACAAGCCUCCAUUCGAGAAGCCACCAAUUUACACUCCUCCAUUCUAGAGCCCACCUUACCACCCAAAGUUCCCUCGGGCAGGCGAUGGUACUCGUUAAUAGAACAUGCUAUGAAGAAAAUAUGUUAAAUAAGAGAUAUAUAGAGUUUUUUAUUUAAUCAAGGAAUAUAUAUAUUCAUGUAAUCUUCAUUUCAAUACUUUGUUUACAAUACUCUUGCUAUGAUAAGAAUAUGAGUGAAAAACAGAGAAAGAAAAUAGUGUGCUUUUCUAUUCGAAAUUAUGAAUAAGAUUUCUAUGAUUUAGAUGUUGUGUUGGUUGACUAAAUCGUGAUACAUCGACAGAGGCAGAGCCCCUCAUGCGCCAAGGUGGGUCAUGGCCCACCCCCAAAUUUUGUUUCUUAUUAUAUAUAUAUUAUGUUUUGUAAAUUUUUGAUGUUUUUGUAGCAUGUUGUAGUGGUUAAGAGCCUUUUUGCCAAGUCGUAUGUGCUAGGUUCAACUCUUGCCAAAACCAUUUUUAUUUAUUCUUUUAUUUUCUUUUGUAUAAAAAAAAAACAUAAUUCAUAAUUGUUAAAAUAAUCCUUUUUUUUGUUACUUAAUCCUUUCUUUCUUUAAUAAAACAUAACUCCUUUAUUCGAUUUAAAAUAAUCUUUCCUUUCCUUACUCUUAUUUUUGGAUACAAUUGUCUCUUUACUCUUUUAUUUUAAUUUUUUUUUUAUACAAAGGGGACUUCAACUCUUUUUUGUCAAAAAACAUUCUCUUUUAAAACAUAUAACAUAUUUUUUAUACUUAGUCGUUUGAUUCAAUUCGAUUUUAUACCUAUACAUCUGUUUAUUGAAGUCGAGUCAUUUAAUUCAGUCGUUAGGUUCAAUGGCCUAGUUGUUCGAUCAAUUAUCUUGAACUUUAUCAAGGUUGAUAAACAGUUCAUAUUUUAAAAUACCGGUUUAAAUUAUAUUCAACAAAUAACAAAUUUAUAGUCAUUGGAACCAACCAAUAAUAAAAUGUACUUGUAAGAAAAUAAAGCCUCAUCACUAUUUAUGGCCCACCCUAUACUUUUUUCCUAGCUCCGCCACUUUACAUCUUCGUAUUCUUUAGGAAGUUUCAACCUUGUUGACUAUGACAACAGUGACGACUAUAACGAGACUCGCUAUUGACUAUGACAACAGUGACGACUAUAACGAGACUCCCUACUUUUUGGUUUGCUUCAACAGGUUCUCAACAUAAAUAACUAACCAAGUUAAUUUGCCUGUGAAAUGUGAUAUUAGUAAGGUGCAUGAAGGUUAAGUUCUUUAGCAAAGCUUAGUAUCUUGAAUUAAAGAAUAUCGUUAAUUAAACUAAAUAUUCAUAUUAGGUAUCACAAUUUUCAAGACUUUAUAUGUACGUGUUGAUCCAUUAAUUAAGAGAAAUUAGACUUUAGACCCGUGCGUCGCACGGGUCAUUUCGACUAAUAUAUAAUAAUAAGUAAUGGUAAAAAAAAUUCUAAAAUAAAUAAAAGAUGAAGAGUAUUAUACAUUUUACUUACUCAAGUUCAAAAAAUAAAGUAGGAGAUGACAUGAAAUCGUUUAGUUGAAACAAACGAAUAUUAAAAAAUAAAAAUUAGACAACGACAGGGAUCUAAAAUUCUAUUUCUAAUCCUUCACAUAUCAAAAUUACAAUUGGUUCUCUUCAUUGUAAUCAUCUAAACUUAAUUAAAAAAUUUACAAGUGCAAAUAGAAUCGACAUUAUACAAGUCACUACUUGAUUCCAAAAACCUAUGUUUCAUGAAAACCACUCAUACCUAAAUAACAAUAAUAAACCUUCAAAACAAAAAUCAACUAUUCUCAAAGGACCCAAAAGAAAGAUUUUUAGCCUUCUAAAUCACAAUUUCUCUUGUUGUAUUGUUUUUGUGUCAAAAGCACCAUAAGUUGAAUAGUAGGCUCAGACACAUGACUUUCCUCAUAAGACAAAAUCACCAGUUUUUUAUAGGUUGAAAAAAUAAAUCAAAUAUCCUUAACUUUCAAUAACGCUUAGAAACAACUGAAACUUUUGCAUUAUCUCAAUCCACAAACAAAAUUGAAGACCUUUAUAUUUGCUUUAGGCACCUUAAGGAAUUCUAUGUAAAUUGUUUUCCUGCAAUGAAAUGCUAAACACAAUGAGCAAAGAAGAAGAAUUAACAACAAUAUUUGGAUUGUUUUAUUUAGCUUACAAUUCUUUAAACUAAUCAANAACACAAUGAGCAAAGAAGAAGAAUUAACAACAAUAUUUGGAUUGUUUUAUUUAGCUUACAAUUCUUUAAACUAAUCAACAAAAAAUUAAAUUUGCAUUAUAUCCUCCACAAUAUCAAGAAUUUUUCAAAGGGAUCAUUCUAUUUGUAUGGCUAUGAUGAGAACUCAUGUGUGUCCAUGAAGACCAGCUCUACGGAUAACCAUGUUCAUAUUAACUAUUUUAGGAGUGAAAAUAGGAUUGGAUUGGAUUUAGUAGUGAGCUGUUGUUUUUGAUUUCAGAAGCAUUUGAAAAUAACAUUUUGAUUAAAUGGAAAUAAUAGGAAGAAUUUGUUAAUAAAAGUGAUUUUUUUUUUUUUUUUUAUGUUGAUCUUUUUAUUGUUGUGUUAGAAACAAAAUAGGACGAAAUUGUAUUUUUUUUUUUAUGUUUAUCUUUUUAUUGUUGUGUUGGAAACAAAAUAGGAGGAAAUUGUUAUAGGAAUAGGAGGAACGAUUUUUAAAGUUUAUCUCUUAAUUAAACAGGUUUAAUUGAACACGGGGGUAAUAACGUAAAAGUCAUCAUAAAAUCUAGGUUAAAAUUAGGUUAAAAAUUGGCUUACGGGUUAACUUUUAUAUAUAAAGAAGUCAAGAGAAUCUAGAUCUGUGAAGCCCCGAUACUUCAAAAUGGAUGAUGUAUCGUAUCCGCUGCGUAUUCUGUAUCGAUACCUGCCCGAUACUUCUCAAAUUUAUGAGUUUUAUUUGAUUCUUCGAAUUCGAAUUUUGAGAAUUUUAGGGUUUGAAGGUUGGUGAUGGAGGUGAAUCUGAGUUUAUAUUAAGAAUUGAUGAAGAAUUUAAGGAGAGUGCAGUGAUGGAUAGGUAACUGAGUAUGAAUUGGUAUGCAGUUUGGAAAAACAAAACAAGAGGCAGUAGCAGCACCCCCACCCUUCCUCUACUUCUUCGACAAUAUGAGUGUUAGAUUCAUUUUCCUAGGUGUGAUUUUGAGGCAGAUGAAUAUGUGUGAGAGAUUGUAGAGGAAGAUCUCAGAUAUAGCUUUUAGGGAUGAACAUGAAUGAAUGAAUUUGUAGAUGAAGAUGAAUGUUGUUUGAACAUUUAAUUAAGAAAUUUUUAAUUGUUUUUUGUUUUAAUAUUUGAAAUUAUUAAAUUGUAUUUUGAAAUUCAAAAAACCUGUUUUAAUGACAUGUAAAUGACAUUUUCCAAAUUGGCAAUGCCACAUAGGCAAAAUUUUACCACCUGUGCAUUUUUGGAUGUGAAAAUAGGGGGUAAGACUAAAACUGCAACAAAAAUGAUAAUUGAAAAACAAUUUUAAUCUGUUUUAAAAGGGCAGGACCAAUUUCCUGAGUAGGCCACAACACGAGGACCAAAAGUGUAAUUAAGCCUUAUAUUUAUGUUGAUGUGCUACAAGCUUAUGACUGGUUUCUUUUGUUUGAUAAUAUAUUUGCAUAUUAAAUAAAAUGGUUAUAAUUAUAUUCUACAUUUAAUUAUAUAAUUUUUUUAUUGACGUAUCCCAACCAUAUCGUAUCUUGAUUUUUGAAAUUUUUUCGUAUUGACGUAUCGGUGCAGUAUCGUAUCUCGUAUUCGGGCUUCAUAGAUCUAGACUAUUAAUUUUUUUGAUAAACAAGAUUAUUAUUAUUUUUUGACAAAAACAAAGUGAGAUUCAUUCAUUCAAAUUGAUAGAGUACAUCAGAUACAAACAUUGCUAAAAACGUAAAGGAUAAAUCUAUGAACAAACUCACAACACUAAAGUUCAUACAACAGCAAAAUGUCUACAAAUAAUAUGAUAAAAUCUAAGUCACCAAAAUAUUCAUGCUUCCGGGUAUGCAACGUUGGCGCCCAAAUCAUUGAUUGAAUUUGUAAUUGACUAAUGUCGAUCUUUCAACAUGAACUAAACGAACACCGCGUCAAGACGCGAAAUCAAACAUCACAUAAGACCACUAACAACACAAUGCCACAAUUAGAUGACGAAAUCACAAAAACUCAAAAGGGAAAACUUGAUAUAUGUGAAAACCAUUUGUUUAGAUCGAAAGAAAAGAGAAAAAACGAUGUAGAGGGGUGAUUUUAGGUCAAAAAUGACCUAAAACCAGUUCUUUUUAAUAAACGAAGGAGAAAGAAUGUUUAGAGAGAAGUUGGAGUUUUUUUUUACUUAAAAAAUUAGGAUAAGCAAAAUUAUUAUAGAGGGAUAAAGGGCUCCCCAACCCAUAUACAAAAUGAUGGUUGCAAUGCCAUGUAGAAAAUAAAAAGAUAACAUUGCCUUUCUUUUUACAAUUAAACUAGUUACAAACCCGUGCGUUGCACGGGUUUAAUAACGUAUUUUAUAAAAAAAAAAUCUUUUAAAAGAAAAAUGAGCAAAUUAAUGAAUAUUGCACAAACAUUAUAAAUCUUUAUCAAAAUAUUUAUGAAAGCUUUAUCAAGUCUUUAAUACACAUUAAUAUUUGUGAUGAUUGAUAAAAGAAUUAAAAAGAGUAAAGGGUAUAGAAAUAAAUUUAUUAAAGAAUUAACAAUUUGUUUAAACUUAUUUUUGUUACAAUUUAGACCAAAAAAAAUAUUGGACUUCAUUGAGUUUCUCUAUAAUUUUUUUAUCAGGCUUGAAGUUAUGACUCUGAGUUUGAAAACCGCAAAAUUCACAAAAAUUAUUGAAGAAACACUAUAAACAAAUAAACGGCAUCGUCAAAAAUGAAAUCAUAUUUGGCUAUAGUGAUCAAGCAAACAAAAAAAAAGAAGCAUAUUAAAUACCUAUAAUCAAUGGAUUCUAAUUGCAUAGAGGCGACACUUAUACUUUCUCUAUGUUUGUUCAUCAAUGAGAGUGAUUAUUUUGCGCUUUCCUUUCAGAAUUGUUCUUGACACCUAGUUUGGGAAAUGCUAAACAGGGAAAUAACUGUAAUAUUAAUCUAAUGCAUAUUAACAUGGAUAAGAUGUAUGCGAAUAUAGUUAUAUAUAACUUAUGAAAUGAAGGUAACAUAACUGAUUUUAAGCUAAAGAAAAUGUACCAUGACUUCUAAUUUAUCUUUCUAUUAUCUUCCUAUAAAGUCUAGAGAAAUGCAUGCAUGUGCAUUAUAUGUACCCCGUUGACCAAUUAACAUUUUUGAAACAAAUGAAAAUUAAGCAUCACUCCCGCAUGUGCAUCUAUAGCUAACACCAUUUGACAUUGAUGUCUUCGAACAUUUGGUGCAACUCUCAUAAUACCAUCCAAACUGGUUAGGAUUGAAUUUAGUUGUUUUUCCAAAUAGUGAUGGAGUAUGUAUCCUAACACAAAUUAUGCACGUGAAAUAAAGAAUAGUGCAAUAUGCAUUUUUAAUUUGUGCGUAAAAAAAUUCAAAGCAUGUUUGUGAAAAAAAAAAAAAAAAACAGACCUUGACUAAGUUUAUAGAUUCAUCAAUUGGCCUAACUUGAGACAGAUUGGAAAAAUCGUUCUACGAAGUACUUUUUAAACUUUACUUUUUAAUCUAUCUGAGCUUGAGAAGUGUUAAGUUCACGACAACAAUUCAAGAAACAUGGUCAAUAAACAAUCAAAUCAGAUUGUGAAAUAAUAAGUUACUCUAACACUGUAUUGUGAAAUCAUAAUGCAAACUUACUAAGUCUUAAACUUUUCAACAACCGGAUGAUGUAGGUUGAUGAGCAGCCUCGAACCUGACCAAUUGUUACAUCUAUUUGCGUUGUCAUUGACUACAAAAUAGAAGCAAAGAAUUCAAGGUAAAUAAAUGGUAAAUGAUAAAGCUACAAAGUAUUUUACCCAUAAUGUUACAUCAACUAUAUUCCCAAUGCUCUAAAUCUCUAUAUCGAGUUAUUACAUGAACUCGAUCACCCUAAAUCCGAGAAAGAAACCAAAAAAUAUAAAUAAAUCAAAAUGUAUACUAAUAAGUAACAUUGAUAAAUCAUAAAAGAAAUUACUACAAAUCUUAACUAACUUAUCUAACCUUUGCAUCACAAAUAAUGAGCUUCAUAUGUUGAUUCUCAUUACUACCAGUCACAAUUCAAGAAUCCAGUACUCCAAAUCCUAUUUUCCAAACGUCUAAAUCAUUUUUGAGAUACUUAAUGUAGUCAUAAUCCCUUGACAUUGAAAUUCAUAUAUAGAAAUACAAUAAUACAUCAUUUAAUUUUAUUCCCUUUGUUCAUUCUGAUAUCGAAAGAAGCUAACAUAUUUCUAUGUGAUCAAUUUUUGUAUCAUCAAAUUAACCUGAUCUUAAAUGUACAAAUUUCUAUCAUCAACUUUCUGGACCCCAAUGAUAUGAUCAAAACAAAUUUACACCAAUCAACUUUUUGCACGGCUCAAUGAUAUACGAAAGAAUAAAUAAAAUAUGAAAACUGUUACAGCUUUAGGAUUACUCACAAAAACUAAAAUAAUUGAAAUGCAUCAAUUAUUUUCAACUCCUGUACCAGAAGCUAAAAUAACAAUUGUGUCAAAACCUUACCAUCAGUUAAAAUUCAGUCAUCAUGACCUCUACUAUACUCCACAUAACAAAAGACGAUUUUUCUACAGCCAUGCAACAUAACAAAUUUUGGUACAUAAUCCAAUAACAAUUGGAAAAAAAAAAAAAAAACCCUUAAAAUGCAUAAUCAUGAAAAAAGGAAGAAAACCAUCUAUGAUGAAGCAAAAACUAAAACGGUGUCGAAAAAUGAAGCCCUUAAGCCAUAAAAAUCAGUCAACUCAAGUCAUGCAUGGUCUCAGAACCAUGAAAAAAGAUAGAAAAUGACCUUUUUUUUUUUUGUGGUGGCCGGGGUUUGAACUCCGGACCUUGCAUAUUUUAUGCAUUGUCCUACCAACUAAGCUAAGCUCACGAGGACGAAGAAAAUGACCUCUUAUGAAGAAGAAAGUGAAACAGUGUUCCCGACUGAACUUAGAUACCGUUUGGUCAAGGUUUUUUACAUUAUAAAAGUUACUUCAAAACAAAGUAAAAAUAAAGGCCUUUAUGAAAGAAACUAAAGUUAUUUGGUUUUUUUGUUUUGUUAGUUUUAAAGCUAUUUAAGUUUAAUGUUGUUUGGCAAAAUAUUGUACAAACUUUGAAUUUAUUAUUUUUUAUAUGGUGUCUGGGGUUCGAACUCCGGACUUGGCAUGUAUUUAUGCAUUGUUCCUAUCAACUGAGCUAAACUCAUGAGGACAAAACUUUGAAUUUAUUAUUAAUUAACAUAAUAAAUAAAUAAAAUGUUUAGAAUAAUUUAUGAAGGCUAAAAAUGUUAAAAAAAUAAAAGAUAUUUUUUUUACAAAUACGAUAUUUACUCAAUAACGUUUAUUUUGUGUAACAUGAAUACAAAUUAAUAUCAUCAUAUAAAUAACUUGUUAAAUAUUUGAAUAGGAGAAACAAUUUAAGGAGUCUGGAAUAAUAAUAUAAAUAAUAUCAAAAUAUUUGAUUUUUUCUAUUUCAAUUAUACUCUAUAACAAAUUUCGUUAUAAGAAUACCAUAUUUUUUGUGUCUUUCAAAAAGAUAAGAAUUUAUAUUAUAUGAUAUUAUAUUUGUUACAUUGUUGGUGUCAUGGAAACAGAUAUGUUUAAUUUUUUUGAACAUGAAAAUGAUAUGCAUAGUUUGUUACGAUAUAAAGGUGCAAUAUAUAUAUAUAUAUACACCUUUUUAGGCAUCUAUACCUUUUUUUGAAGAAAAGACAUCUACAAUUUUACUUUUAAUUAAAAUUUAAAUUUUAUAAAAAUAAUCAUACGCAUUAUGCAACGCUAAAAAAAAUUAUACACAUUAGCGUAACAAAAAAACAGACACACAUAAAGAAUUACUCUAAACGCUAAUGUGUAUGUGCGUAUAUAUUUGCGAGGUUGAAGAAAGAAAAUACAAAUAUUUGAUAUCAUUAAAUGACAGCGUGAAUAAAAAUAUUUGUGAAGUUGUGAUGAUUAAACGAUAUUGAAAUUAUAAGUGAUAAAAAGAUAAUAAAAUUCCUUUGAAAAAAAGGUAAUAAAAUUAAAUGGAACCUCCUUAAAAAAAAUUAAAUUGAACGCUUCAAAUUAAAUGGAAGAAAAAAAUAUAUUGAAGUAUAAUAUUAAAAAAUAAAAAAAAAGGUUCCCAACGUGAAUUGAAGAGAGAUGCUUGUGAAAUAAAUUGUCGAGAAGUAGUUUUUUGAAGAAGCAUUCAACAACUUUUGGUCAAAGUUCAUUGCAUUCAAUUUUAUGCAUUAAAAAAGGUACAUUUUUUAGAAAGUACUUAAUUGAUAUUGUAUUUGACCUAACUUCUCCUUAAAAAUAUAGGGAAGUUGAAAAAAAAAACCGGGUCAAACGGUAUCUUAAUUUCCCACAACGGCAGUGUAGAAACAACUGAAUUUGGGAGAAAAAAAUUGGAAAAUAGUUAAAAAUAAAAAAAAUUGAAAAAUAGUUAAAAAAAAUCGGUGAGGUAGCACCUAACCAAACAACACUAAAAAAAAUUAUAUGCAUCAGCGUAACAAAAAAACAGACAGACGGACAUAAAAUAUUACUCUAAACGUUAAUGUGUGUGUAUAUAUUCGCGAGGUUGAAGAAAGGAAAUAAAAAUAUUUGGUAUCAUUAAAUGACAGCGUGAAUAAAAAUAUUUGUGAGGUUGUGAUGAUUAAACAAUAUUGAAAUUAAAAUAAUUAAUAUUGUGUUUGACCCAACUUCUCCUUAAAAAUUUAGAGAAGUUGGAAAAAAGUCGGGUCAAGCGAUACCUUAAUCUCCCACAACGGUAAUGUAGAAGCCACUGAAUUUGGGAGAAAAAAUUGGAAAAUAGUUAAAACUAAAAAAUAAAAAAAUCGGUGAGGUAGCACCCAACCAAGCAACACCAAAAAAAAAUUAUAUGCAUUAUCGUAACAAAAAAAUAGACAAACAGACAUAUAAUAUUACUCGAAACAUUAAUGUGUGUGUAUAUUCGCGAGGUUGAAGAAAGGAAAUAAAAAUAUUUGAUAUCAUUAAAUGACAACGUGAAUAAAUAUAUCUGUGAGGUUGUGAUGAUUAAAUAAUAUUUAAAUUAAAAUAAUUGAUAUUGUGUUUGACCUAACUUCUCCUUAAAAAUGUAGAGAAUUUGGAAAAAAGCCGGGUCAAACGAUACCUUAGUCUCCCACAACGGCAAUGUAGAAGCAACUGAAUUUGGGAGAAAAAAUUGAAAAAUAGUUAAAAACAUAAAAAUUGGAAAAUAGUUAAAAGUUAUUAAAAAUUAGAAAAUAAUUUAAAAAAUUGGUGAGGGGCAAAAUGGGAAAUUUGGCAUAAAAAAGAUGAGGUGGCACCAAACCAAACCCACCAAUUAGAAAAUUACUUAAAUGCCCAUUCCAGGGACAAAAUGGGAAUUUCAUAUGGCAUCAAUUUUAAUAGAGUAUAUAGACCACUCACAUUACACAAAUGUUGAAAUAUAUGAUGCAUAUUACUUUUUAAAUUUUUGGUUUAUAGUUGCAUUUUUUUUAGGGUUAAUAGUGUUUUUCACCCUUGUAAUAUAUGUCAUUUUCGGUUUUCGACCCUAUAAAAUUUUUAGUUUUAUUUUAACCCUCGUAAAAUUUUUAUUUUCCGGAAAAGACCCUUAAUAGGCCAUUCAAAAACCAAAAUUUCUUGAAAAAAAUUCUGAAAAUGGCCUAUUAGGGGUCUUUUCCGGAAAAUAAAAAUUAUACGAGGGACCACCUGUUGAGAAACCACCUGUACACAAGCCACCAGUUGAGAAGCUACCUGUUUACAAGCCACCUGUAGAGAAACCUCCGGUGUACAAGCCACCUGUUGAGAAGCCCCCAGUUUACAAACCUCCAGUAGAGAAGCCUCUAGUGCACAAGCCACCAGUUGAUAAACCACCUGUACACAAGCCACCAGUUGAGAAGCUACCUGUUUACAAGCCACCUGUAGAGAAACCUCCGGUGUACAAGCCACCAGUUGAGAAGCCCCCAGUUCACAAACCUCCAGUAGAGAAGCCUCCAGUUCACAAACCUCAAGUGGAGAAGCCACCUGUAUACAAGCCACCAGUUGAGAAGUUUCCAAUUUACAAAC
rnacentral:lncRNA from 1 species